rnacentral:lncRNA from 1 species
UUUUUUUUUUUUUUUAAAGUUAGUUAACAACUACAAUACACUGAAAUAUAACCAAGGCGGAGUCACAGGUCGGCAUCAUUAAAAUGAAAAAAAAAAUAUUUCUAUCCUUUACCAUUUAUAAAAUUUUAAAUUAAUAAUAUUUAAAUUACAUUUUAAUUCUUAAAAAUAAUAAAAAUUUGAUUUCAUCCUUUAAAAAUUAUAAAAAUAUAGAUUAUUAAAAUAAUAAAAUUAUAUUUUUAUUAUCGUAAAAAUAUAUAAUUUAAUUCUGCUCAUCCAAAAAAAAAUUUUUAGCUCCGCUACUAAAUAUAACACAAAUAUAAAUAUAAAGUAAAAUUAAAUUAAUAUAAUACAAAUCAAUUAAGAAUUAAAAUUAGCUCAUCGAACUAAAACUCAUACAUAAUGAAAUUGAAGAUUCGUAUACAAUAAUUAAACAUAAUGAGACUCGAACUUAAAUAUACAUGAUUGAAUAUUUUUUUUAGUAUUAAUUUAAUAUGGAUAUAUGAAUUGAUAAAGUUAAUAUUCACAAUACAAAACGAAGUGGACUAUAUUUUCCAUUCUAUAUUAAAUGAAUUUUUUACAAAUUUUUCACUUUAAAAUGAACAAGAAAAUGUGCUAUUAUUUUUAUGUUAUAAUACCUAAACUUAGAGCGGCAAGUUCAAGAAAAAGAAUUGGCAUAUUUUUAAGUAAAAUACAAAAAAACAGAAGAAAAAAAAACAUAUUGGUAUUAUCUCCUAAUGAUGAUGGCAGUUGAAUCUUUGUUUAUCCAACCAACUAUCCUUGGUGUACGUUAGAGUUUUGUCUCAUGGUAGGCAAUUAGAUCCAGUUUGUUUGGGGCACCUGCUUAUUCAUCGACCAAUUAUUUUGAGCCACCUCAAAAGUCUUGUUUUCAAAGUUGACUUUUAUGUACACGUGUCGUUGUUGUUGGUGCUGUAACUGAAAUUAACAGAUUCAGUGCAAACUUGUUAAGCAAGUCUCGAGACUUGCUGAGCAAACAAGAGAAUUCGAGCAAGAGAAAGGAAGAAAAGCUAAGAAAAAUGAAUAGAGAAAUUGAUGAACAAACUGAACUUCAUUCAUAAAAUGCAUAAUGGCACAAUGCCAAUACAUAAAACAGGCACUAAGCUUGUCAAAAACAGUAAGUAAUUACCUAAACAUCACCUACCUCCACUAAUGACAUGGAAACUUGAAAUUUUGGCUUGUAAACUUACACAAAGUUGUGUUUACAGCUCAUACAUAAGCUAAUUACAUCAGUCAACAAUCUAACUUAGUUAGAAAUGAACUAAGAUUACAUUUCAUUGACUAGGAAUUACAAAAUAAACAAAAUAAGCUUGCAUCAGCAGCUCCUGCAUGACUUGGUCUUCAUGGCCUGCAUGUUGUCGAGUUUGCUGCAUGCUGAACCAACUUCAUCACUCCUCCUUGGUUUGCAUGGAGCAAACACCUAGCUUCUUUCUUAGACAUUCGAACCUUGUGACACUAAGGGCUUUGGUUAAAAUGUCUGCAAGUUGAUCCUCUGAAUUACAGUGGAUCAGCUUUACUUCCUGAGCUUGCUCCAUUUCUCGAACAACAUGCAACUUGAUGCUGAAAUGUUUUGUUCUUCCAUGGAACACUGGAUUUUUAGCAAUUGCUACUGCAGAUUGGUUGUCACAGAAGAUCUCAGUAGCUUCCUCUUGAUGCACAUUCAAGUCAGCCAAUAUUUUCCUUAGCUAUAUGGCUUGGUUGACAGCACUUGCUGUUGCCACAUACUCUGCUUCAGCAGUAGAUUGAGCUACUAGACUUUGCUUCUUUGAGCUCCAGCAAAACAUGGCUGAACCAAGGUUAAAAGCAUACCCUGAGGUGCUUUUCAUGUCAUCUAUCGAGCCAGCCCAGUCACUAUCAGUGUAGCCAACCAGCUUCAGAUUUCCUUCUUUGCUGUACUUCAAACCAUAGUUUAAGGUGCCUUUGACAUAUCUCAGCACUCUUUUUGCAGCUUGGAAAUGCUUCUCAUUGCAGCAAUGCAAGAACCUUGAGAGUAAUCCUACAGCAUACAUGAUGUCUGGUCUAGUGGCAGUCAAGUAUAGCAAGCAACCAACUAGACUCCUGUAGGUUGUUUCACAAACUUUCUUAAAAUCACCUUGGCUCGAUAGUUUUUCUCCAACAGCAACAGGUGUUUUAGUUGCCUUGCUGUUUUGCAUGGAGAACUUGGUCAGAAUCUUUGUGGCAAAGCUUCUCUGGCUUAGAAAUAUCUCAUUCUGUACUUGAGACACUUCCAUUCCAAGAAAGUAUGACAUCUCCCCAAGAUCAGACAUUUCAAACACUUCCUGCAUCUUGGUCUUGAAAUCAGCCAGCACUACUCGAUCUCCUCCUGUCACCAGAAGAUCAUCAACAUACAGGGACACAAUGAGUUGUAUUUGUGUCCCUUGUUUCUUGACAUACAGUGUUGGCUCACUCUUGCUUCGAUCGAAUCCCAGAUCAGUCAAGUAGCCAUCGAUUCUGCUAUACCAAGCCCUUGGAGCCUGUUUUAAUCCAUAUAGGGCCUUCUUCAGUUUGUAGACCAUAUGCUCUCUGCCAGCUAUUUCAAACCCUUGUGGUUGUUCAACAUAGAUGUCUUCAUCUAAGAAACCAUUCAGAAAGGCUGAUUUCACAUCAAGUUGAUGGAUCUUCCAUUCGAGCUGUGCUGCUAAGGCAAUCAGCAGUCUGAUGGUGUCGAGCCUGGCCACUGGUGCAAAGGUCUCCAGGUAGUCCAAGCCAUACCUCUGACUGAACCCCUUGACAACUAGCCUUGCUUUCAGCUUGUUCAAGGUACCAUCAGCAUUCUGCUUGGCUUUGUACACCCAUUUCACCCCAAUCACCUUCCUUUUGACUGGCCUUUCAACUAAUUCCCAGGUCUGGUUCUUCUCAAUCAUGCUGAUCUCCUCAGUCAUUGCCUGCUUCCACCCUUGCUGAGCCUCAGCCUCUUCAAAGUUGCUUGGUUCAGCUAUGGCUACAUGAGCCCUUUCAUAAAUUUCAGCCAAUGGCCUUGUUCCUCUGACUGGUUCAUCAUCAAUAUCCAUUUCAGGGACAUUUUGGUCUGGCUCAGCUUGGUCUAUUGCAAGUUCUUCAGAAACUUCUUCAGGUUCAUGUCUUUCCCAGUUCCAACAUGACCUCUCAUCAAAUACCACAUCCCUGCUUACUGACACUUUGUUUGUUGAAGGAUCUAAAAUCCUAUAGCCCUUCUUAACAGUGCUAUAGCCCACCAAAACACCAGGUCGAGCCCUUUCAGACAAUUUGUCCCUUUUAACAGCAGGUACAUGUGCAUAACAGAUGCAUCCAAAGACCUUCAGAUGAGCCAGUGAUGGCUUGAAGCUAAACCAGGCCUCGAAUAGGGUCUUUUGAUCCAAAGCCUUGGUUGGAAGUUUAUUUUGAAUGUAUGUUGCAGUGUUAACUGCUUCUGCCCAUAGUGCUUUAGGCAGAUUCUUCUGAAUCAUCAAGCACCUGGCCAUAUCCAUCAAACUCCUAUUCUUCCUUUCACUUACCCCAUUCUGCUGAGGUGUAUAUGUGUUGGUAAGUUGAUGUUUGAUGCCUGCCUUAUCACAGAAGGCUUGGAACUGAGCUGAGGUGUACUCAGUCCCAUUAUCAGACCUUAUGGUCUUCACCUUGCAGCCUGUUUCAGUCUCAGCAGCAGUUUUGAACUUCCAAAACACAGUGGCCACCUCUGAUUUCUGUUUUAAGAAGUAAAUCCAGCAAUAUCUCGAGAAAUCAUUAAUGAACAGUAUGAAAUACCUGUUUCCACUUAAUGACUCAGUCUUCAUAGGGCCACACACAUCAGUAUGCACCAGUUGGAGUUUUUCAGAGGCUCUCCAGGCUUGAUUCGAGGGAAAUGGGAGUCUGGCCUACUUUCCUAGCUGACAUACUUCACAUACAUCAUCAUGGUCCACUGAGUUGAUGAAGUUUUCAGCCAGGUCUUCUCUGAUCAUUCAGGCCAUCGAUAUGAAGUUGGCAUGUCCCAGUCUUUGAUGCCACAGCUUGGAUUCAUCUGAAGUGGCUGUGUAGGCAAUGUCUGACUUCUUUGUCCAGUCAACCACAAAGAUCUUAUCAGCCAUGGGGACUGCCAUCAGUUUGGAUCCACUUGGAUCACUGAUUUGGCACUGGUGGUCUUUAAACACAACUGAAUAACCUUUUUCCAGUAACUGAGCUAUGCUGAGCAGGUUUCUGUCAAUUUCAGGCACCAACAGCAUAUUUGAAAUCACUUUGGUACCUGUAAGGGUGCAUAUCAGCACAUCACCCUUGCCUUCAGCUUGAAUAAAAUGACCAUUUCCUAUCUUGACUUUAGUUCUGCAGCUUCUGUCUAAAGACUUGAAGAUUGCAGCAUCAGGUGUCAUGUGGUUGGCGCAUCCACUGUCUAGGAGCCAACCAGAUGAGGACCUUUCCUGAGCAGCUGAGCAUGACACAGCAAAAACUUGCUCCUCUUGGUCACUGUCCUCCUUAGCUACUCGAGCCUCAGCUUUCAUCUGUUGAAACUGAUUGUGCCUUGAUUUGGCCUUGCUCUUACAGACUCUCUCAACAUGACCCUUCUUCUUACAAUGCUGACACACAGCAUCUGGAUUGAACCAGCAUUUUUCUUCUGAAUGACCAGCCUUUCUACAAUGCUUGCAAGUCUGACCUUCUUUCCUUGCAGCAUCAUUCUUUGGCUUGUCUCUCCAGGCCUUCUUGCCUUUGUAGGCAGUAUUUGUUCUUGCCUGAAAGGCACCUUCUUGGUGCUCCUCCAGUCUGCUUGCUCUCCUCUGCUCUUGAGCAUAUAGAGCAUUGAUCAACUCUGUCAGGGAGAUGGUGGACAGGUCCCUUGAGUCCUCGAGAGAUGAGAUUUUUGCCUCAUACCUCUCAGGCAGAGUUGCUAUAACCUUCUCCACUAUCCUAGCUUCAUUGAACUGCUCUCCAAGGAGCCUGAUGCUGUUAACCACAGCCAUAAUCCUGUCAGAAUAUUGCUUGACAGUUUCUUCUUCCUUCAUCUUCAAAUUCUCGAAAUCUCUCCUCAAGUUUAACAACUGUUGCUGCCUUGUCCUCUCUGUCCCUUGAAACUCUUCCUGCAACUUGUCCCAGGCCUGUUUUGGUGAUUCACAGGCCAUAAUCCUUGUGAAAAUCACAUCAGACACUGAGUUUUGGAUGCAAGACAUAGCCUUGUGCCUCUUGGUCCUUUCAUCAGCAUGCUGCAUGAUCUGAGCCACUGUUGGAUUAGCUCUAAGUGGCUCUGGUUCAACAUCAGAGUUGACCACCUCCCACAGAUCGAAAGCCUGCAGGUAGGUCUUCAUUUUGACCACCCAUAUGUGAUAGCCUUCUCCAUUGAAGACUUGAGGUGCAGCUGGUGAAAAGCUUGAUGAAGCCAUGGAUUUGUGUAACAGAUCCCUUAAGAAAUAGGCUCUAGAUACCAAUUGUUGGUGCUGUAACUGAAACUAACAGAUUCAGUGCAAACUUGUUAAGCAAGUCUCGAGACUUGCUGAGCAAACAAGAGAAUUCGAGCAAGAGAAAGGAAGAAAAGCUAAGAAAAAUGAAUAGAGAAAUUGAUGAACAAACUGAACUUCAUUCAUAAAAUGCAUAAUGGCACAAUGCCAAUACAUAAAACAGGCACUAAGCUUGUCAAAAACAGUAAGUAAUUACCUAAACAUCACUUACCUCCACUAAUGACAUGGAAACUUGAAAUUUUGGCUUGUAAACUUACACAAAGUUGUGUUUAUAGCUCAUACAUAAGCUAAUUACAUCAGUCAACAAUCUAACUUAGUUAGAAAUGAACUAAGAUUACAUUUCAUUGACUAGGAAUUACAAAAUAAACAAAAUAAGCUUGCAUCAGCAGCUCCUGCAUGACUUGGUCUUCAUGGCCUGCAUGCUGUCGAGUUUGCUGCAUGCUGAACCAACUUCAUCAGUUGUGUUGGAACGGUCAUAGUAUGAACUUCAGUACACCAGAGUGUUGCUCUGCAUGGGAAACAAAGACAAUAAUAAAGUUAACAAGUAUGCUUCACAACAAUGACUGGCAAGCUAACAAUCUCCUUUUAGUCCAGUAAUUCAAUAGUUUGUAGUGUUUUUGCUACGCUAUCUCUGAAAGUUUUCCUGAUUAACUCAGACCGAAACAGAUUUAGAAAAGAAAAGUGCUGGAAAAACAAUGUUCAGGUUGCAUAAAACAAGGCAAACACCGCCGCCAAGUAAUAAAUCAGGGGAAAAGAUAGAUUUUACGUUCUCCAAUUUCAAACUGGUUCAGGUAAUCAUUCAUUUCGUCCUCAUCUUGUUCUUCUUCUAUGUUCCAUUUUACUUACAUUAUAUGUGUGUGUGUGUUUUCUGGUGUUUUUAUAUAGGUACCAAAAGGAUGGGACAGAUUGAUCAUGUCGAUAAUCUCAAUGGAGAAUGGGAAAACCAUGGCAAAGACAAGCAAAGCAGUAGUUCGAAAUGGGAGUUGUCAAUGGACAGAGACUUUGUCGGAAUCUAUUUGGGUUUCAAAAACAGUGAUGGAAGAUUGUUUCUUCAAGCUUGUUGUUGCAAUGGUAACUUUGUUAAUGAAAUACCGUUGGAUCUUAGUUUACAGUUCUGUAUAUUGUUGUUGGAAACAUGAUCUGAACAUGUUCGAUUCAAUUAAGGUGACAAAUUAGAUGAUAAAAGAAGGAUGAAAAGAAAAUGAAUAUUGAAAUUGUAGGGAUCAGCAAGAUCUAGCAUUCUUGGAGAGGCGACAGUGAAUAUGACAGGCUAUAUAAAUUCAACCAUCACUGUUCCGGUCUCAUUGCCAUUAAAAAAAUGCAACCAUGGAACAGUUUUGCAGGUGAUUUUUCAACGAUCUUAUUUCUUCUCUAUUAUUAUUAUUAUUAUUUGUUUUUUUACAUUAAAUGCAUACCAUUUAAUUAGAAACAUGAAGACAAAGGAACCAUUUGCUCGGUUCGCUAGUGGCUGGACCCGUUUUAAGGCGGUGGGGGCUGCCCAUGUUAGUCAAGGUCCAAUGAGUAAACCUCUUUUCCACUAUCGCUAAAUAGCAUGCAUUCAUUGGGUUGGUUAUGGCCCCUGUAUCACACAUCAUAUUUUAUUUAACAUGUUACAACUUGGAACACAUGACCAACAGUUGCAUUAAAAACAUAAGCUGGUACUUGUAAUGAUGAUUUGAUGGAAAUAUUUUCAUAUAAACAGAUUUUGAGGUCGGUUAGUAUUUUGGACAUCACUUCAGUUUUAGCUGGUAGUUGUAAGCUGUUAGAAGAUUCAAGUUUGGUCGAAACAAAAAAAAAAAGCGAAAGAGAUAUCUUAGGAAGAUGGUUACCUCCUAAGUAAUUUAGAUUUUAGAGCAAAUUUAAUUACAUGAACUAAAUUAAAGUAGGACUUUUGAUAAUAUGAAUGAAACAGAAAAUUGAAACACAGUUGUCUUUUUCUAACGAAUAUUGCACUUGUGAUUCUGAUAUGCAGAUGAAAAUUCAAUGUUUGACACCAAGACGAAAACCCAUGUUUGUAUCAUUCCCUGCCCUUCCUUCCCUUGUUUUUUGUUUUCCUUUAAAUGUUGUAUUGGAUCAUAAACACUUGCACUGGAUUAUUUCAGGGACAAUGAAUCAAAGCAGACAAAUUUCCAUAAAGAAGGUAAUAGCACUGAACACUCUCCUGAUCUAAGCCUUACCUCGGAUAGUCCAGAGAGUUUAAUUGCAAAUAGUGAUGGGUCGUCCCCAAGUUCAGCCCCACGCCAAGAAGAACUCGUGAGUAGGGUACGUUAGAGUCUCAUCCUGUUUUGUUGUUAAAUCAUAUUUAAUGACUGUAUUAACAAUGCUAAACUUCCAUUACUGCAGGAAGCAAGUUUCUCAGCUUCUGAUUCCCAUUGCAGCUAUGAUUCAGCUGCAAGCAAUUUGAAUGGUGACACUCGGAGCCUGAUGGGAAUACAAGAUUCACCCAUUUCCCAAAAUGGGAAUUCUCACAUUGAUGACCAUCUUUCUCAUUCAAAUCAUUCAUCGUUUGUUUCACAAAGCAGUUUUUCGGAUAAUAAGCAAGAGUUUUGUGCUGCAUCAACUUUAAGAUCCACAGAUCCUUCCAAAAAUCUUCUUGAAGCAGCAGAGAAAACGAUUGAAGAGCUUCAUGCAGAAGCAAAGAUGCGGGAAAGGAAUGCGGACAAGUUAAUGCUUGAUUUGGACAUGUUGAGGAAAGAAUACUCUGACCAGUCUAAAAAUAACGCAAUUUUGGCUAUGGAGCUCUCGGCAGCGAAUGUGGAACGCUAUGGACUACAAAAAGAAGUUGAACAGCUGAAAACGUUGUUGGAGAAAUCAAUCGCGAAACAACCAACCUAUGAAGAUUCAACAUUUGAGGAUGCUGGAACAACCCUUUUGCACAAGGAACUGGAAAAUGAAAUUAAGUUCCUAAAAGAGUCUAAUGACAGCCUCGCUUUGCAGUUGAAGAGGAGCCAAGAUGCAAAUGUUGAGCUUGUUUCAGUUCUUCAGGAGCUGGAACAGACCAUAGAAAAGCAAAAAGUUGAAAUGGGGACUAUUACAGCCCUGCAAUCACAGGUGAGUGAAUUGGAGAACUGUAUGCAGCUAAAUUCAGAGGAAAACAGCAACUUAAUGAUACAGCUUCAACAAUCAAGGGAAUCAGAGAAGAAUUUGCAGGCUGAGGUCCAAUAUCUUGAACAGAUGAAAAACAAAGAAAGUGAUGCCCUUUUGGAUAUUGAGGACGAAUACAAGACUAAGUUAGCAGCUAAAGAAAGGGAAAUCAUUGGUUUGAAAGUAAAGCUAUCCGAGUCUCGAAAGGAAGGAAAUUUCGCGAAUCCGGAGUCUCGAAAGGGCCACGAAGCACCUCUGAUCAGAGAAAUUGAAGCCUUAAAAGUAAAACUAGAGGAGUUAGAAACUGACUGCAAUGAGCUGACUGAUGAAAAUCUUGAAUUACUACUCAAGAUAAAGGAAACAAAGAACAAUGUCAAUGGAGGAGUUGCUUCCAAUGAUUUUUUGUCUGAUGAGAUUUCAGCUAAGCUUGCAAUGAGAGAACAGAAGUCAGAAAUGCUUUUCCUGGAAGAGAAACUAAGAAAGAAAAUUCUGAGGGAGAUUCAAAGUGAUUAUAAUAGUUACAUUCUGGAACUUGAAACUCAGACAAUAGAACUGGAAGCUAAAGGAACUGAAGUAGUGAAGGAGUUAACUCAGAAAAGGACUGAAAUGCAAACACUGGAGGCUACUUUGCAGUCAAAGGAAGAGGAGAACAUGGAGCUUAGAAUGAAUCAGAGUAAACUGCAGGAUAUGCAUCAUCAGUUGCUGGCUGCUGAAGAUAAGUGUGAAUAUCUGAGAAGAGAAAAUACAAAGUUACAAGCAACUAAUGAGACACUCAUUGAAGAAUGCAAUUCACUUAACAAGUCAGCUGAAGGGUUGAGGAAUGAGAAGUCAGAAUUGGAAGAGCAUUGUGCUCAGUUGGAGGCCAAAUUAAAAGAAUGCAGCAAAAAAGUUGAAGUUUUGGACGAAAAUCUAACUUUGGUGAUUGAAGACUUUGCAUCAAAAGAGAAAAAACUAACAUUGGAAUUAAAUGCAAUUCAUGAUAAGAGCAAGAAACUUGAGGCAAAACUGAAGCUUGAAGAAAGCUCCUGGAACCAAAUGUAUUUGGAGAAGACCAAUGAAGUUGAGAAUCUUGUACUAGAGGUGGAAAACCUUGGUAAGCAACUCUCUGCAGCACAUCAUGAGAAAGAGAAAACAGCUUGUGAAAUUUCUGGUUUACAAGCAGAUAAACUUAGACUGGAUUUGGCUCUUGAAGAAGCUCAAUCUAACCUGAAACUUACACUGAGUGAAUUCAAGAAAAUAGAAAGUGGAGCUAAAACACAAGUGGAAGACCUAUUGGGUGAACUUACAGCUGCUAGAGAAAACCAUGAAAUACUGAUGGCAGAACAUGAAAAAGCUUUGAAGUUGUUAGAGAGUUACAAAUCCAGUGAAGGGAAACUUAAAACCAUUGUGAAUGAGCUUGAACUAAAGCUAACUGUUUCUGAAUAUGAAAGACAACAAGUAUCAGAGCAAUCUACCAAUAUGAAGGUUCAGCUGCUGAAGAUAGAAAAUCUUCAGGAUGACAUUUCGGCUCUGACAGAUGAACGCAAUGCGAUUAAAGCCGAUAAAGAGAAACUGGAAGCUUCAUUGUAUCUAAUAUCCAGAGAAUGUGAUGAUCUGAAAGCAGAGAAAAAUUACUCAACGCAGCAGAUUUCUACCUUGCAAAAGGUGGUUUCAGAAAUAGAGGACUAUAAACAUGAUAAAAUAGUCUUGGAAGAAAAACUUGUGCGGACGGAAGGCGAUCUCGUGGCGAAACAGGCUUUAUUAAUGCAGGAUGAAGAAAUUAAAAACGAGCUUAAUGAGAUCAAGCAAACAAACAGGCAAUUCCAGCAGCAAAUUAAACAGCUUCAAGAGGAGAAAGAUAAGCUUCUCAUAAAAGCUCAAACCCUUGAAGAAAAAUUGAAACUGAAAGUGGAAGAAAAACAGAAGCAGCGCCAUUCCAAUUCUCACAGAAACAAAAGAGAGGCAAGGAAUCUACUUCCAUUACGAAACCACAUAGUUCCUUUGAUUUAGAAUUUACAUCUUGGUUAUUCGCAUAUGAAUAUUAUGAACUGGUAUAAAUUCUGAAUUUAGUUUUUCAGCUCUCUCUCCAGGAUAGGCAUUACGAUUCCAAUGAGGGAAGCCAUGAAAAUGAAUUUGCCAGGGUCAUGGAAGCCAAUAACAAGUAUAGACUUCGUGUAAAUCGGUGAGACUAGUAACAUGUUACAGCAUUAAUAAAACCCAGAAUUUAUCUUCCCUGAUGAAGUUUAACUCCAUGACUUUUUCCUCCCAUAUGUCAUCUUCCAGUUCCAGGUUAUCAGAGGGUCGAAGAAGUCAAUCAAAUACUCCAAGAAAAUCAUCCAUUGAAGGUGAAGUGGUGGCAAAAGAGAAAUAUGAACGUACAAAAUCAACUCUAGAGGCAGAGUUAAGUGACAUCCGCGAGCGUUAUCUCCAAAUGAGCCUUAAAUACGCAGAAGUAGAAGCUCAACGUGAAGAACUUGUCAUGAAGCUUAAAGGAGUGAAGAGCAUUAGGAGGUGGUUCUCAAACCCUUCAAAUUAACCAAAUCUUCUUUUUUCCCCUAUAAUUUGAAGUUUCAUUUUCUCCCUACAAAAUUCUUAUAAAAUACUGCUAGGUAGAUUGCAUUUUAUCAAAAUGGAAGAAAGUGUGUUUUUCUCCUGAGACAAACAACAAAGAUGCUUAUCUGGGUUUGUAACCAAUAAAAGGCCCAGAUUGGCACUUAGCAUGGCUGCCUGAUUGAAGGCGAGAUUACUAUUACUACUGUAUUACUUUAUCUUAUCAAUGCAAAAGCUUUUGGUCCAAUCUUGAGGCACAUUUCCCAUUCAGAUUUAGAACUUAAUCGCGUCCUUUGAUGCAACAUUUCGUUCUUUCUUGGGAUCAUACACUGAUUUCCUGUUCAUUUAACUACAAACGAUAAUGCUAAGUUUAAUCCAAGUUUUAACAUCUUCGUUUUCUUCGAAAAUAACUCCAGUUGAAUGGAGAAAAUAGUCAUAAAAUUUUGGUACCUUUUCUCAAUUUAGUUUCUAAAUUUUUUAACACCUUAAAAAGUGAAGACGAUAUAUUCUUUAGUGUGGUGUCAAUUGUCAUCAUUUAAAAAGAUAUACUACUUUUUUAUAUUACAUACAUUGCAUAAGAAUACAUAUAUUUUUAUUAUUUUUUAUUUUUUAUUUUUUAUUUUUUAUAAUUGGAGAUGGAUUAUUUCAGCAAUUAUUAAGAAUUUGAAUAAAGGUAAAGAAACAACUUUAUCUUGAAAAUUUAUAUGAAUAUUUUAAAUAUUGAUUUCCCAUAAAUAAAAAUUAGGGGAAACUACAUAAAUUGUCCUAAGUUUUAUUUAAAAUUAUAUUUUGGUCACAUAACUUUCAAAAAUUACAUAAUAGUUACUAACGUUUUUAAAUUGUUACAUUUUUGCCACUCGGAUGUUAACUUCCAUUAAAAAAAGUAAUAUUGCACCUUUAAUUCAAAGGGUUAAUAGCUAAUUUGGUCCCUUAACUAUAGUUAAAAAAAUCAUUUUAAUAUUUUAAAAUUUUCUAAUUAUUGUUAUUAAGAAAAAUUUUAAACUAUUAGGGGCCAAAUUAGCUAUUAACCCUUUAAAUUAAGAUGCAACAUUAUUUUUUUUAUCAAAAGUUAACAACUGAGUGACAAAAAUGUAACAAUUUGAUAACGUUAAUGACUAUUAUGUAGCUUUUAAAAGUUAUGCGACCGAAAUGUAAUUUUAAACAAAGUUUAGGGAUAAUUGAUGUAGUUUACCAAAAUUAAUAUUAUUAAUUGUUUUGAAAUUAAUGAAAUUAUAGUUACUUAUCUAUACUAUUAAUUAAGCUUUUGAUUAAGUUGGUGUCAUGAGUCAACCGGACAACAACUCAGUUAGAGAAAUUAUGAAAAUGUAUUUUUGUAAUUAAAAUAAGAUAUAUUAUUUGAAGACAUUUUAAUAUUUUUAUUUUAAAGAACAAUAAAAAUAUGCAUAUGGUAGGAUUUGAUCCCAUGCCAAUUACAUUAAUGAAACCUUUAAUUUAAAAUUCAACUAAAGCUUUUUUUUUUUAAUAUUUUUGUACAUUUUAAUUUUAUUAUCAUAUAUAUUUCAUGUGUUAUUAUCAAUUAGUUUCAAACUAUACAUUUUGUUUUAUUGUAUAUUAUUUUUAAACAUUCAUCUAUGUUAGAAAUACAUGGUUUCUAUACGUGUAGAAUUUCUUAUUAAUAAUAUUGUUGAUUGAGUUGGUGUCACAAGUUAACUCGGCACCAACUUAAGAUUGAUAACACCACCAUGGUAAACAGUUGUACUCUUAUUUUUAAUCUGAUGUGUUUGUAUUUUGUUUUACUCACAAUUUAAUCUAAUUUUUUUAUUUUAAUAUCGUACAUAUUUCAUUGUUAUUAUUAAUUAAUUUUAAACCAUACGUUUCAUUAUUUAUUAUAUGUUAUUUUCGAACACAUUUUUAUAUUCUAAAUACCUAGUUUCCAUACGUAUACGCAUGUAAUAAAAAAUCCUACUUCACAUUAAUAAAUAUUCACAUAAUAUUUUUCCAUGCAAUGAAAUAUUUAUCUUUUAGGUUGUGUAGUGCAUGAGGAACGGAAUCCAAUAUAGCUCUUUUUACAUUUGUAUUUAUCACUAAGAAAAACGUAUAGUGUCUCAAAAGAGCUACGUGAUCUACAUUUCAAUCUCAUUCAUCCUCUUUUUAACUUUUAAAGUUGUGAUAAUUUUUCCUACCAAAACAAUACAUAAUCCAACCAAAAAAAAAGUUGUGAUAAAUUUGGCAUCUACAAAUUGAUCGUGUAGUCCUAUCCCGAAGGUUAUGCAACAUUCUCCACCAUCCGCGAUAAAAGCUAGUCGUCACUUCAUAUAGCAGCUUGAAAUAAUAUCAGAAAUUCACAAGCAGAAUUUUUCUCCUUGCAAGUGGCAGGAAGUGACUGGUUAACAAGGCCCACUCUAGAAACAUGACUCUCGAGUCGCCACCAGAUAAAACGACCCAUAAUAUAUCCCCAUGUGAUAAACAGGAAAGAGUAGCCAUCGCAAUUUAAAAUCCCAGGGGCUUUGAAAGGAAACAAAAGGAAAAAAAGGGAGAUGUCAUCAUAAUGUGGUGCAAAUUAGGGUUGGUGGCAAUGGCAUAUACUUUGGAAGAUGCUGAAACUAGCAAACUCAACUUCACUCGAUUCCCACUUCUCUUGUUUGCUUUUCUUUUAUUAAAAAAAGUAAAUUUGAUAAUUCUGGAAACAAUGUGAAUAUGAAAUACAAAAAUUAAUUAUAAUAAGAUACGGCAUGAAAAAAUAACAUGAAAUAUAAAUACAUAAAAAAAUUAUUAAAAAAAUAAUAAAAGAUUAUAUAAAAACAUUAUAUUAAAUAUGUUUUAUGAUAAAAAAUAAUAAUAUAAAUAUAUGGAAGGGAUUGAUGUGACGACACACUUUUACUUAAAGUCACCGCGCCCUUUUAUUGCCCUCAUGACCAAGGAAGAUUUAAAUUAAAAACUAUAUCAACCCAUACAUAGCUUCAGUAUCAGCCCUCUUAUGUUCUGCACCAUCAUCACCAGGCCAUCCCUGCCGAUGGCUUGAAAUGCUCAAAUCAGGCAGGCAGGGAUGGCCAAGGCUUUCUUUUUCGCUGAUGAUGGAUCGCUUCCAACCAGGUAGCGUGGGAGUAAAUGAAGAAUUGAAUUGUUCAAAAAACUGAAUCCCCUUUCCUCAAAUGGCAAAUUCUCUUAUAGGGCAACUUCGAUCCUUUGGCAAUUUUGGCUUUCUCUGCAACAUUUGCAGGGCUAGCUCGAGGUAACUUUCACCAGUGGGCGUCAGAUUCUCUUAUUAUAUAUGCAUUUGGUAUGUAUUUGUUUGUAGGCCAAUGGCCAAGGUUUUAGUAUGCUGCAGUAUUGUUGUACCGAGUUGUAUUUGCUGAAUAAAUUUGCUCUAAAUAAUGAUUAAUGAUGAGUGAUAAGCUUGCUUAUAAGUUCAAUGGAAGCUUGUUCUAAGAAGAAAACACACACAAGAACGCUUAGCAAUGCCAUAAUAGUUACAGUAAUAUGGUACAUUUAUUUAAAUCUUAUCCCUUUUCUCUUAAAAAAACAUAAUUAAAUGGGUCCAUAUGCUCUUACUUUAGAGAAAUGGGAUCCCUUUAUGUUUUUAUCUUCUUCUUCUUUUGUUAAUGCCAUUUACGAAAAGACACGAGAGUCUAACCAUGUGUUGGAUAUAUGAUCAUCUUUAUGUUUAUGAAUACUAUUAUUUGCUAUAAUUUAAAAAGGGCCAUUAAUAUACAUAUUUAAGUAGUCUAAGCUGACAACAAGGAUUGGAAAUCAUCUUCAUAAACAUUCAUAUGGUGUUUAAGUUAUUUUGACCUUACCUCUUUGUGCAAGAGCUUUUAAGUUGAUGGGUUGUUUCGUUAGGAUAGGAAGAUUUCUUGGGAGGGAAGACAAAACAGUUCAAGUGUGAAAAUUCUUUUGAAUGAAUCUGACAUAAAAUCUAAUUCAAUUUGAGUUAAAUUUUAAAAUUAAAAUUCAAGCCCAAAAAAUCUAAGCUUUGAGAAAAAAGUUUGAAUUCAAGAAAAUUCGAGUCUGAAAAAGAGCUCAAGCUUAAGAAAGCCUAAGCCAGUAACUAUCCUUUUCCGAGAUAAAUUCAAUCCUAAACUGAAAAAUAAUUAGUUUGCAGUUAUGAUAAACUAACUUUGUUUAAAGUUUGUUAUAAACAAUUAGAACCAAAAUAGACAGCGUAAGAAAAAUGAGAAAAAAAAAAAUUGACACAUCCGAUCUUUGUUUACAUAAUUCUGAUAUAAAGAUUCUAUGCCUGCGGAAUCUCACUCAAGAUAAAUCUUUAUUCAACCACCAAACACUUCAAGAAUACUCUUCUUUCUUUAUUAUCUAAAGCUCACAACUCUACAUGCAGCAUCGAUGAAAAACUAAUAAUCUCACACCACACAAUAGUCACAAGACAGAAAUUUCACUAAGUGUUACAAACACCCUAUUCAACAAAACACUCACUCAAAAGAAGAAAGAAAUAAACAAGCUAAUAAACAACAAGAUGCUCAGCCAAUAUAAUAUGAAUGACUAUCUUAUGUAAAACACAAAACUUUACCGUUAGCCUAGCCGGAGAAAGAGGAGUACUUUUGGUCAUUAACAAUAUGGUUGUGGUCUUGGGUACAUUCAUCACUAAUACUCUGAUUAUUCAGAAAUCAAUUGAUAAUGUCCAGACUAAAAUUAAAUAAAUUCUCACGUCCCUUAACUUACUAAAAGUUAGCCGACCCUUCAACGCCAAUGUCGUACUGUAGAUUGCAAUAGAAUUCUUGCACAAUUUCUUUGACAUAUGUUCUCGCAAAAGUGUUAAUUAGACUUUAGGAGAUUUUUCGUUUUAAUAUAACGAUUCAAAAAUUAGUGAUGCAAAAAAUUCAGUUUUGAGACCCUGUUUUAGUAAACCGGACUAUAAAUAAUUUUAUUAAAUAUUUAUAAAGUUAUAUAUUAGAUAAAUUAAAUUUUGAAUAUUAAAUUAGUAAUUAAUUAAGGUAUAGGAGCUAAAUUGUAAAAAUUAAAUUACUAUAGAUUUUUAAUUGAAAACUUAGAUUAAGGAUCAAUGUAGUAAUAUACCACAUUGGAAGUUUAGUGGACCGUAAAUGAUCCUAUAUUUUACACGUUACUUUUUUCUUUUGUUUUAAUUGAAACUAAAAUAUUUUUCAACUUUGUUUUAAAAUAAAAUUUAUUUUGAAUAGAAUUUAAAUAUUUUUAUAAUUUUUUGAAUAAAUCAAAGGUAUUUGUCAUAUUAUUGUUUCGAUAGCAUCUUUCAUUCGUACUGUACAUUAGGACAGGUGAAGGGUGUUAUAAUUAUAAUGCAAGAAGGCAAUUUAUAUUAAUAGGUAAUUUGAAUUAUACAUUGUCCGUAGAAAUAAAAUUGAACAAUUGACUCAUGUGAACUAUUAUAUUGUCUAUAAGUCUAACUGGGAAGAUUAUUUGUCUUAACUAUAGGAGAGAAUGACUCUCAAAAAUAGAGACACAUGUGUAGUUGUCUAAAUUGACAAUACAUCAACUAGACUCAAAUAGAAUUUAUCUUAGAUCUGUUUAUGAAUUUACUCGCUUGUAACAUUUAUAGUGUGACUUAUCUCAAUCAUGUCUAAGUGACUAGCUUUGUGUACAUAGUUCAUGUGCUUUGAUAUAUUGAAAGCAUGUGCUCUCAUGGUAGUAAGCUAAAAGUUGACAUAUGAGGCACAUAAUUUAUGUAUGACAUGACUUCACUUAUAAUAGUAGAAUUUAUAACUCAGUUGAAGAGUAAAUGAUAUUUUUUCAUUGGCUGAUACGAGCAUUAAAACUCAUUGUUAGGCCAUUGGUGUGAUGGGCUAAGUUUGCUACAAUGCCCAAUAACUCAGUCCAAAACUAAACAAUUCAAAAAUCAAUUCAACGUGUUGAUUCAAGAAUGAGCGUCAAAACAUUUUCAAGAGAAAGAAUUGGAAGAUCCAAUCGCUCAAGACUUUGUUUCAUGUUGUUUGGGUUACAAAGAUGCAAGUCAAUUAAUGAAGCUAAAUGGACGUUUUUUGUAAGCUUACAAGAGACCCAACUGUGAAGAGUUGGGCCAUACGUACAAGCAAUGAAUAAUCUAAUUACAAAAGCUUUAAAAAAAUAAAAAUAAACAAAAAAUAAUAGUUAUCUCUAAACUUUUCUAUCACAUAAGGAAUCAGAAAAUGAUUUAAAGUUUUUUAAAAUUAAUUUUUAAAUAUUUAUAAGUAAAAAGCAAGAAUUCGUAACAUACAAAUUGCACUCGACUUUAAUGAUGAAUUACAACAAAACUGUGCUAGUGCAAUAUAGCGUUGCGACACCCAUUUCUUAGUUUAUUCAAUCGGUUUUGAGCGAUUCGCAAAUUAGUCGGCCUAACCCCCUAUCUUCAGAUAUGUAUCCUGAUAAAUUUAAUUUAAUUUAAACAACAUAAAAGAAGAAGUAAACAUAUUUAAACAAGUUUACAUAAAUUGAAAAAAGAAAGAAAUUAAUAAAAUUAAAUCAACAAAUUUCUAUCAAAUCGCUAGAGUUAUCAUUAUUAAAGGAUAAUGGAAGAGGUUGUAUAGGUUUGAACCUCAUAAUUGAUGCAAGACAAAUCAUUUCCUAUUAUACCUGUGGCUAGUUGACAUCAAAUUCCAAGGGUUAAGCCUAAGAUUAUGUAUAUAAUCUACCUUAUAUUUUGCAUGACUUUAGCGUAUGAUGCGUCGUUGAGAGCACCAAAAAUAUCCUAUUCCCUGUAAAACAAUGAAAAAGAAAUAGUAAAGGGGAAGUAGGGUCGAAUCCUCAGGGACCAAAUUAUACGAAUGCUUGUUUCUCGAAAUCCUGGGUAGAAUCGUGCCCAAGAAAACCUGCGUUCUUGGAAAAAAAAAACAAAAUUUAAGAAUUGAUUUUGGAAGAGAAAAAUAAAAUAAAACAGAAUUUAAAGUUUACUGAAAUUAUGAUCACGAAAAUAAUAAAAAUAAUAAAGAGAGUUUAAAGAGAAAAGAAAUUCUUAUGGGAAAGUUCCAACCUCCGGUUGUCUCAUUCCACAUUGGGCUCAAUCCUUGGCUUUUGGAUGAUCCUUCUCGACUCAAGUAAGCCAGUUAUAGUAGAAGAGGACGCCUAAGACCACCAGCUCCAAAGAUUAGACUUACGAUUUUUAGGGAACCUGACUCUAACCAGUAAUCUAUGCUAAAUCAACGCUUCUCAAUGGCGAAUCCCACGCCAUUUUGUCUCUUUGGCUCGCCAACCUCUGAUGCAGUAAGUUAACGAACCGACUAUGCAAUCCUUCCAAAACAUACAAAGCGGCCGCCUUUGCAUAUGCUGAAAAGCUUACUUCUUAAGGGCCAUGGACAGAAGCGUCAGCCCGUAGUGCGGAGAAACGAUGAAUACUUGGCGAGAAGGCUAAGUACGGAUUCUAGGACUCAAGAACCUUUUUUGGGGAAAUAUUGACAACAUUUGGCUAGAAGGAUUUUAGUGGCUCAUGAUAAUGCACUACAGGAGAACAGACUUUUAGCGGCGUUUUCACAAGCGCUGCAAAAAACGCCGCUAUAGACGACGCUGCAAAAUUUUGCGGCGUUUAUUUAAAAAACGCCGCUAAAGACCAUGGCCUUUAGCGGCGCUUUUCACGCAAACGCCGCUAAAGACCAUGACCUUUAGCGGCGCUUUUCCCGAAAACGCCGCUAAAAACCAUGACCUUUAGCAGCACUUUUUUUACAAACGCCACUACAGAACAAACCUUUAGCGGCGCUUUUCUCACAAACGCUGCUAAAGAAUAUAACCUUUAAAAAAUAUAUAUUUUUAUUAAAUAAUAUUUAUUUUCUAUAUUAUAUUUUAUUUUUGAAACUUUAAACUAUAUACUUUUAAGGAUAAAUAAAAAUAUUAAUUAAAUUAAAUUUUCUAUUAAAAUUUUAACUUUAAAACUAAAUAUAAAAAUUGAUGAAUUUAAAUUUAGAAUUUAAAUAUUAUGUUUAAAUAAAUGGGCAAUCUACCAGCAACAGAGAGAUAAUACAAUUUAUGAAAAUUUAUGUCGAUGAGAAUUUUUAAAUAAAUUUUAAGCACAUUUACAUUUAUGGAAAGAAAGAAAAACAAAAAGGCCGUAGUUUUCAAUUUUUGUUUGCCUUGCCUAUGAGGAUGACAAUGAAGUUCAGCUUCAUUCACAAUGAUACAACUUUCGUCACCUCUUGUUUUAUCCAAUGGUGGAACUGUUCCACUUUCUUUCCUACCAACAGCACUCCCUGAGCUAUCCAUGGUCCAGUUAUUUGAUUGUCCUGCAAAGUUCACGACACGAAUUAUACCAUACAGCUUAGCAGAAAUAGACAAAGAUAAAAUAAAUAAAAAAACUUGCAUAAAUUACUUGUGUAAUAAUUUCCCAAGAAUUUAUAUAUUUAAAGCUGACUCAAUGUAUACAUUUAAAGAUGAUAAUACAAUAGAUGUAAUAAUUGAACAAGAAACUAUCUUACUGUAAUAUUUUUGUUAUUUAUUUUACAUAAUAAAUAUUUAAAACUAUUUAAUAUGAAGCAAUUUUUGCAUUUUCACAAAACAAUUUAGAAACUGGAAAUAUUUUUUUCUGGCCAAGAUUUGUAAAGCUUAGUGCUAGUAGGCAGAUGCAGUAGCCUAUGCAUCGCAUUUUUAUUUUUGUUUUAUUUCACUGGAAUAAUCCAAUAGUUUAUGACUUAUUCCCUUCUAUCCACUGCAAUAUUGCAAUAAAGUACAUUAGAAACUAGGAUAUUGGUAAAAGGCACACAUAAGGUCUGGGGCUAGGCUUGGAGCUGAGGUGGGUACAAAAUGAAAGCAAUAAUUCCAUCCUCAAGAGUCCAAGCACGCAGAAAUGUAAUUUAUUUUAACAAAAUUAUAUGGAAAAAGGAAAUAAUGGCACGGUCUCAAAGUUUGAUCAUGCAACAUGAUAAAGUGUAUGAUUAGCAGCAGGUGGUGGGAAUAAAGGCAACAUGCUAUGGGGAUGUUUCAUUGCAAACUAAGGAAAAUAACUUAUGUUUCUUCUUGGUGCAGUAAAGAGAACACCUCAGAUUUGAUUGAAGCUAACCUCAAGAUGAUCAGUAGUUAUAAACAAAUAAAAGAAGGAUUUAGUCGGAGUCAUUUUCAAGACUUUAUCAACUUUAAAAAAUGCAAAGAAGUAAUGCUCAAAUUUCAAUACUGAACUAAUGAAACAAAUACAGUUCACAAAUUGAUGCAUCACAUAGAUUGAACUAUUGAAAGGACUUGAACAAAGAAUGUAACAACUAAGUAAACAUAGUGGAGAAUCACAUAAGAAAUUAAAAACCCAACAUGCGGUACAUAUAUCACAGCCACCAAUCAUAAAAAAAUUUAAAUAUACGGGACUCACCAAGAUGCAAUGCAACAAUCGCAAUUUAAAUUGGUAAAACCAGUACUAGGAGGCUCUAACAUAACAAAACCUGUAAAAUUGAAUACCUAAUCUUUAUAUGAGUUCCAGCAUACAAAUUCCAGUUCUACCAUGACCCAUUUAUAAAUAAAAGUUUCUCAAAUUAUAAAGAAAAGGUUGACAGCAACUAGUACAUAAAAGCUCCAAUUGCAAACAAAGAGAAAGCACCAGAUAAAUAACAAUGUCAUUAAGUGAAAAUGGAAAAAGAAAAACAUAUUUGAGGAUUUGAUACAAAAAGUAUUAUUUGGCAUGUUAAUAAAAAUUAAGUACCAAAUAUAAUUGUAAACAAUUUGAUUUUUUGUACGAAUAACAAAAAAAUCAGCACAUAACAAUAGUCAUAACUUUAUCCAUUGAAAGACAAACCAAAACCAAAACCAAAACCAAAAUCAAGUUCAUGCCAGCAUAUAAUUUGAAUCUCACCGCUGACCGUAAACUCUUUCUCCAUUGAGGCCUUAGUUCCAAAUCUGAGCGAGUGUGCAUAAUCCCACGAGGCAAAUCUUUUAAUUUCCCGGAAGGCAAUUCAUUAUCCUUAACACAAACAUAAUACACACCUUAGAUGACGACAAUGAAGAAACUGAAUCCACACAGAUUACCAAUGUGAGCACUUAAUGAAUUAAGAAAUACACAUUAAGUUAUACUAAAACAUAGUCCAAAGAAAAACCAAGGCGAAAAAGUUUCAAGUUCUUCAAGCUCAGGCGUCAACAGGAACUAUAAACUAACUUGGCAUGGUAUAUGUCAAUAUUAAGAUGCUUACCUCUACUGAGUCAAAAGGGUGCAAUUUGGUUUCCAUUUGACAAUAAGAGAAAGCAUUUAUAAAAGAUAAGAAUAUAGCUUUGGCAAGCCUCACAACACCUUAUUACAAUAUAACAAUGCCAGCAUGAAAUCCUAUUUAUCUCCUUACAAUAAAUCAAAACCAGUGGAAUCUAGAGAACAAUGAGAGUUGUUAUACCUGUGUCUCAUAGUAUCGAUAAUUUUUUCUAUAUUAAACGCAUAAAAACUGCAGGAAAUUGCAUUGAAGAAAACAAAAGAAAAGGCUACCUCAAAAGUUCUUUUAAAAGUAAAUGCAACAAUUAAUAAGUUCUCACUUAAUUUAUGCUGAAAGACCAUACAUGGUAAUAGCAAAAAAGACCUAAUUUUUCUUUUGUCUCAGCAAACUGACUUAAGAAAAUAGAAGUCGCAAAAUGAUAUGAUAUGCGUAAUGCCAUUAAACAUUGAAAUUUAAGAUGUUUAAGUAAGUUGAAGCAUGUGCAUAUGCAUGUAAUGGCCAAAUCUCAAAAGAAUUUAUACCCACACCUACAAAUUCUAGAAUGGAAUCCCGGUUAUAAAGAUUUGACAUUAACCAAUCCAGCACUUCCCCUUCAGUCAACCACUGGUAGAAGGAAAAAGGAAAAAGGCCUCUGAUUAUUUGAACAAUAAGAAAAAAAUGAGAAAGAUGUUGUCAAGAAGAGACAAAUUUAAGCUUUUGUUGGAUCUAUGUAUGUAGUUAUUACUAAUUUAAGCGCCUGAUUGGGAUUCAAAAAAUACAUGAAAUGAAAGAACAAUCACUGUAAAGAGCAAAGGUUCGAUUUUUAGAUUAAAGUAGAAAGAUGAAAUCCAAAAGCAAUGAAAGCUAACACCCUUUAUAAACUUGAAGUUCCCGGAAUUGUUCAAUUCAAAUAAAAUUUGGAAAUGCUUGAACUUGUACUGAGAGACUCUCUAUUAGUACAAUUAUUAAAACAAAAAGGAAAGAUUCAAUAAAGAAAAUAAAGAAUGAACAAGGAAUAUGAAUGGGCAGAAAUAAAAGUCUCUUAAAAACCAGAUCUUGAUCGAACCACCAUUGCCAGAAAAUAAAAAUAAAAAAACGAAAACCAGAAACAUAAAAUGAGGGACCUUGAAGAUUAAAAGGAGGCGAAUUGAUUGAAAAGAGAUGAAACUAGACAGGGAGUAAAGCUCUUCUUUUGCCUUCGGGUAAAUUCGGGUCGUCUGAUUCAACAACAACCAAAAAUUGAAUGAAUGAACCAGCAAAAACUAACAGAGAGAAAAGGUCAUUUAAAAGAAAAACCGAAACAAGAGGACGCAACGCCACGUCUUAAAGGUACAUGUGGAAGAACAAAAGGAAAGAGGUUUUGGGGGGGGGGGAAUCUUUGCUUUUGCUUUUGCAUGGGGAAAGGGUUUUUGGUCUCUGCUAUGGGGUUUAUAUGAGUUGUCUAGCUGCCGCUCGUCGACGUCUCCCCCUGCGACAGCUCCCAAACACAACACCUUCCCAUUUUUUUGAAUACUCAAUUUCACCAUCUCUCCCCCUCACAUGGAUUUUUCCUUUCUUUCUUUAAAAUUACAACUAAAAAUGCCAAUCGAACCUACCUGAAGCAAUUAAGGAAUGAAACAAAACCACUGUUAGAGAGUAAAAACUGUAAGCCAGUAAGUUCAGCCCAAGUUUUUAAUGUCUCUGCUAAAUCUCGGUUUUCGCUAAUAAUCUCAAGGAGAUAGGAUGCCGAAUGCAAUUCCAGGCUACCGAAUGCAUCUUUGAGAAAGGAUAUCAAAAUAUUCUUCAAUUAGGAGAGAAACAGUAAAAAGAAUCCAAAAGAUAAAAAUCUUACUUUCUUUUUGUGACGGUAUAACGGUAUAACAGUAGAUCCUAACGGCGGCGCAGAUGAUUGAGGCGGCGUCUGUAAUAUCCCGAAUUAGGGCCUAAUCAGAAUAGUAGUUUCGUGACCACAAAUCCGAGAUAGAAAUAAUUAUUUUAUAAUUAUUUUGAGGUUUAUGAUAUGAAUGCAUAAUUGUGUGAAGAUUUCGUGAAGAAAUUUUGGGCAUAACGAGUUUAAUUUAAAGUUAGGGACUAAAUUGAAUAAGUUGCAAAAUUUACAUUCUAGAAGUUUUUAGUAUGAAAUUACUUUUAAAAUAUUAAUUAGGAGGUCUUAAAUAGAAAUUUUACCAAUUUUAAGUUCAUGGACAAAAUUAGGACGUGGAAGGAAUUUUUGGAAAGUUUAGUAGUAAGGGUAUUUUGGUCAUUUAGUUAUUAAGAUGAAUUAAAAACAAAAUUAAAAGCCAAUUUUUGUCCAUCUUCUUCAUUAGGCCGAAAUUUCAAGGGUUCUCCAUAGCUAGGGUUUGUUUCAAGCUUCCAAGCUCCAUAGUAAGUGAUUCCAAGCCCCGUUUUUAAUGAUUUUUACGUUUUUGAGAUCCCGGUAACUCGAUAAAGCUUAUGUUAGCAAUAAUUUAACCUAGGGUUUAUAUUUGGAAAAAUACCCAUAGGUGAAAUUUGUGUAUUUUGAUGUUUUAUGAUAGAAUAUGAAGUUUUAAAUUAUGUUAGACAACUUGUACUACUCGAUUUUAAGCAAAAACGAGUAAAAGGGCUUAAUCGGUAAAAAUACCUAAUAGUCACAAGUACAUGUUAGAGUGAGAAUUUGAUGUUGCCAUAGAAGAGAAAAAUGAUCAGCAUGUUGUAAAACAUAAGAAUAAGGAAUAAAGUUUAAUCCCGAGCCUAGGGGCAAAAAUGUAAAUAUGCAAAAGUUUAGGGGUAAAAUUGUAAUUUUGCCAAAAUUUGAGUUAAGGAUUAAUUUGAUAAUGUGAGUAUUAAAUAAGCUAAAUGUGUUAUUUUAGAUCAAGAAAGACGUGGAAUCGACCUCAAUCGAGGAAAAGAAAAGAUUAUGGACUAGAUUGCAAAAUCCUUGUAUUUUGGUACCAAGGUAAGUUCAUGUGUAAAUAAUGUAGCAUAAUGGUUAUUUUUAAGUUAUUGAUGUUAAUUAUAUGUUAUGCUGAAUUUUAUUAUGAAAUGUAUGCUUUGUGGUUAAUUUCAAAUAAUAUGUAAAUUAUGUGAACUACUUGUUAAAUAUAAUUGUUACCGAGUAUUGAUUUCGGCAUUCUACGGAAGACGGCAAGGAUAAGUGUUCGAGGAAAAAGCCCGUUUGAACCUUAGGAAUAGAUUAGGAUACAAGUGACAUGUCACUAGGAUGGUUGAGCAUCCGAACUCGUUGAGUUGAGUCCGAGUUCACUUAUGGAUGCGAAUGUCCGAACUCGUUGAGUUGAGUCCGAGUUCGUGAGAUGUAACUAGGCAUCCGAGCUCGUUGAGUUGAGACCGAGUUCGCUUAUGGGCGGGUUACAUGAUUGCUUGAUUGCAUAUAUGGCACUUAUGUGCAAGUUAUCCAUGUAUCCGAAUUAUAUUCCGAUGUGUUCAACGGGUAAAACUCUACUCAAAUGGAGGAAUAUUUGAGAUGUAAAGAGACGUAUUGGUAAGUGAUGUGAAAUGGAUAUUUUGAACAGGUAUGUAUUUAACCCUCGGGUUGAGUAUUGAUACAACCACGAUAAGGUAAUAAGAUGAUGAAAAAUUAUUAGAAAUGUGACAUGUGUUUUAGUGAUGCAUGCUAAUGUUGAUUGGUAUGACUGUUUGUUAUGUUACUUAUUAUUUGCAUAUGAACUUACUAAGCAUUUAUGCUUACUCCCUCCUUCUUACUCAUUGUAGUUUUGGCCAAGCCAGCUCAGGAGUCGGGAUAGGUUGAAGGCUCAGUCACACUAUCCGGAAGACUUUUGGUAAAGGCUUGUAAAUUUAAGUAUGGCAUGUAUAGCAAUAUAUCUAUUUUGUGUAAAUGAUCUUAUGGUAUGGUAAUGGAAUGGUUGAGAAAAUGUUUGAUAAUGAUAAAUUAUGAAAAUGGUUAGUUUAGAUUAUGUUUGAUGAUAAGGAAAAUUAAUAAGAUACUUAGUGUAUAAAAACUCAUCAAAAGGGAUGAAAUUUGCCAUAAAUAGGAUACUACAGCAACACUGACGCGAGUUUGAAAAUUUACUAAAAAUCAUAGAAAUUGAAUUUGGUGAUGGAAUACAUAUAAAAUUGAAGCUUAUUAUGUCUAGUUUCACAUGAAAUAAAUUAAACAAGAAAAGGAAUUAUAUGUUAUAAGAUAUUAGAAUUUUAGUGAAACAGGGUCAUAGCAGUUUCUGUAUCCCCUGUUCCAACUUUAUAAAUUCACCAUAAAUUGUAAAGAUAUAAUUAGGUAGUGUAUUUUAUAUUCUCAGAAUCCUUAUUGAGUCUAGUUUCAGGAUAAAUAAACCUCAUAUUCAUAUGAUUUUUUUACAAAGAGAAAUGUGGUUUGUAGUAAACAGAGGUCAGACCAGUCAAGUCCUGAAACAGGGGUAACUUUAACUAAUAAACGGUACUAAAUGGCCCAACCAAAAAUUCUAGAAAACAAUUAGUAGAUAGGUAUAUGAGUCUAGAUUCAGGGAAAUUUUACAGAUCUUGAUUUCGAGUUUCGUAACUCGAGAUAUGAUUUUUCUUGUGACUGUGAUGCAAGUAGCUUAAAAGCUGCGAAUGUAGAAAUAAAUAAUCCAAAGUUCUAAAUAUGUUAAAUUAAGCUUAGUAACACCUCAUACUCGACUCCGACGACGGUCUCGGGCGUGGGGGCAUUACAGUGUCAAUGCUACUGCUGCUUCUUCAGCCAUUAAUUUUGGGGAGGGGGGAGGGAACCGAUUUUGGGAAAAAGAAAGGAGGGAAAAAAAAGAGAUUUUGGGAUUUCGGGGGGGGGGGGGGGAAGGGAGAACCGAUUUAGGGAAAAAGUUUUAAGGCAUUUUGGGUAAUAAAACGGCGCCGUUUUGUGUAAGAUUUUUUGCGGCGUUUUUAUAAAAAAUGCCGCUAUUGCUUAUCUUUUGUGGCGUUUUUUUAUAAAAACGCCGCAAAAAGUCAUUUUCCUUUAUACAAAAUGGUGCCGGUUUGCUCUGCUAAAAAUCUAUUAUUUUGUUUUAAUAUAUAUAAACUUUAUCAUUAUCUCUUAAAUAAUUUAAACUAUAUUGAUAAUUUUAAUAUAUUAAAACAAAUAUUAUCUUUUUUAUAAUUAUAUAAGAAAUUAAUUAAUAUAUAAAUUAAAAAAUCAGUCAUAGACCCAAAAAUAACUUUAAAAUUAUUUUAAUUAAUAGUAUUUUAUUUUUUUCAUUUUUGACAUGUGUUUUUCUAUAUUUUUACUUUUAAAUUUUUUUUCAAUAAAAUCCAAAUGUUGCUUCAAUUUUCCAACAGUAAACCCUAAAUCUAAACCCCAAACUAUAAACCUAUAUCCUAAACCCUAAAUAUAUAUUACAAGGGAUAAAAGUAAUUAAAAAAGAAUCUUAUUACUUACCUAAACCCAAAAAUAAUUUGAUUUUUUGUUAUCUUAUCAAAAAUCCUAACUCUUAAACCUUAAUAGCCUAACCCCUAAAACCAUGAACAGUACUACAAUCCUAACUGUAAAACAAAAAACCACAAACUCUAAACCAAAAACAAUAAACAUUAUAUCAUAAACCCUAAACCCUUAAACCAUGGACAUUAAACCUUAAAUCUUAAAUCUUAAAUCAUAAAUUCUAAACCCCAAAAUAAUAAUCAUUAUAUCAUAACCCUUAUCCCCUAAACUCUAAACCAUAAAACAUAAACCAUAAACCCUUAACCCCAACCCUUAAACCAUAAUUAGAUAUUUAAUUAUAUGUAUACACCUAAAUUUUGAUAGAGAUACAUAUCAGAAUUAUAUAUGAAUUUCGAUUUAAUGUGUAAUUGUAGAUGUGAAAUUCUAAUUGUGGUUUAAAUGUAUAAUUGAAACUUUAAUUUUGAUUUAAUCAUACACAUUUUAAAAAAUAAAUACAUCAAUAUAUUUUUAUAUUGAAUAAAUAUAAAUAUUUAUGUAUGCAAUAUAUAAAUAUAAAAUGAUGUUAUAUCAAUAAUUGUGUUCAUAAUUUAUGCUUUUACGAUUUAACUUAUUGCACACUAAACCAUUGUUCAUGUAUACUUUUGGGAUUUAACCCAUUUUGAUAUAUAUAUUUUUUAAAAUAAUAAUUUAUAUUUACCUUAUUUAGAUUUAUAUUAUAAAAAAAUCCAAGAUACACAAGUUAAGUAGUUUACCAUAUUUACCUCUAAAUUCCAAACCCCAAACCCCAAAUCCUAAACUCUAGGCCCUAAACACUAAACCAUAACCCAUAAACUAAAUUACUUUUUUGCGGCGUUUUUCCAAAAGCGCCGCUAAAACCACGAUCUAUAGCGGCGUUUUUCCAAAAGCGCAGCUAAAACCUCGAUCUAUAGCGGCGUUUUUCCAAAAGCGCCGCUAAAACCUCGACCUAUAGCAGCGUUUUUCCAAAAGCGCCGCUAUUGUUCAGUUUUUAGCGGCGUUUGGACCAAAAACGCCUCUAUUGCUCAGUUUUUAGCGGCGUUUUAUUGCAAACGCCAUUAAUGUAUAAUAUUUGCUGCGUUUUUUGUUCAAACGCCACUAAAAACGCCACUAAAGCCAUAUUUUCCUGUAGUGGUGGUGGAAAAGAAAAUAAAAUUAUGGAAAAAGAAAUUUUAUUAAAAGAAAAAAAUAUGGAAAGAACAAAAGACUUUUAGGGGGAGAGUGUUUACAGAAAAGAUGAACCCCAAAUAGAGUCACUUCACCCCCUAUUUAUAGUGCUAGGGAGAUAGUCUAAUUGAACUUAAAUUCUAAAAAGAUAAAUACAUUUAAUUAAAGAUAAAUAAAGAUAAUUAAAAUAAAAUCCUAAAAUUAAAUAAUCCUAAUAUUUAUCUUAAUAUUAAUUAUCCUAAUAUAAAUAAAAUAAAAUAAAAUAAAAUAAAAUAGAGUCUUCCAAAAUAAAAUCUCUUCUAUUUGCUUUUAAGUCCUUGUGCCUUUCAUGUUUGCACUUUUGGCACCAUAUUUGUCCCACGUUGCAUAUUGACUCAUUUAAUCUCCAAAUUGAUGCUUUUUCUCUUGAAUUUACUUUUCGCCUCCAAUUUAGUCUCUAAAAGAUAAAAAGACAUAAAUAGCUCAAAUUAGUAGGCUCAAGCUCAAAAUAAACACAUGAUUAAUAUAUAAAAACACGUCAUUUUAGAGUAUUAUCAGCGUAUAACAAAACUCAUUUCAUGGGCAUAAUACAUUAAUUUCAAUCUAUGUUAAAUGAACUUUUUCCGUACGUAAUAUUGUAUAUUAAAUAAAUAUCUAAAUACGAAAUAUAAUGAAAGCUAACAUAACUUAGAGUAUUCCUGCCUUGUAAUCAUAAGCUCCAUUAGGAGAAAGUCAUGAACAAGUUGCUUAACAUAGGAGUUUGGCUGAUUGUGCUGAACUGCUUUAAAAUAUAUGCCUUAAAUUUCAUUGUUGUGAUUACCUUAAAAUAUGUAAGGUCAGAAGUAUAUGUUACUCAAACGCCCCCAUGCAAAUCCAAAUUAGAACAGUCAUUAUGGUGAUGAAAUCAUAAUUACAUUAAGCAUAUUUUCAUUUUGUUCAAAUUGAUAAAGAAGUAUAAAUUACUCAAAUAAACAGGCAAAUCUUGCGUUUCCUUUGUUUUCAUCAUUGCUAUAAUCAGAUAAUCUUUCCUUUUCUCUUUCUCUCUGCAUCUCUCAUGGGUUAGCGUAUGCAGUUUCUAACCUUUUUUUAAACUCUUUCGUAUCUUUAUUUUCUACACCAUUACUUUUAGCCUUUUAAUUUAUGAAAAUCAAUAACCAGGCCCUCCCACAGAUAUAUCUUACCUCCCACGCCAAACAUCACUUAACCGGCCCUUCGUCCUUCCCAAGGGAAUAUAAUAAAGCCGUACCUUUCCCUUUGCUCUUUUAGCUCAAAAAUUACAUCAUUCUCUAACUAAUCCCCCCAUUGCAUUAGCCAUGAGGCUCAAAACUAACUCCAUUUGGCUCUUUGCCUUUCUCUUUGCACUCUUUUCCAUCCUAAUCUCUCUGUAUACACUCCCUCCUUCUUCCCAAGCAACCAUCUCCAUGAAAUUUGAAACUUCCUUCCUCAAGAAAGUUGUGAGCCAAAGCGGUGAAUUCAUAUCUUUGCUAACGAGGAUGGUGUCUGGACAUCAUCAUCAUCGUCGUCAUCGACGUCGUCACCAUCAUCACCAUCAUAGGAGGGGGCGUGAGCACAAAUGUGAUCAUAUCAAAUGGAGGUCGAGCUUGAGCACUAGCAACCUUAUUUAUCAAUACAAAGUAUCACUUGUAUUAACAGUUGACUUAGAGGGUUGCGGCAACUUCAGCAAUGCGCAGAAGGCAAUCGAUGCUGUUCCUGAUUCCAGCCCCUCCAAGACCCUGAUCAUUAUUUAUUCUGGUACAUACAGGUCAUUAUUGAAAAACGUUUCUUCCCUGUGUGUAUAUAUAUUUGCACAUGUAUAUGUACCAUGAACAGCUAAUAUCAUUGAUGAUCCACUAUGAUUCAAUCUUGUGCAAUAUGCAUGGAACUUUGAAUCUAAGUUACAAACAUGGGUGACCUGUGAUUCAGGGAGAAGGUAGUGGUCCAUGCAAGCAAAUCCAACUUGAUAAUUCAAGGUGAGGGUUUUCUCAACACAGUUAUAGAAUGGAAUGACACUGCAAAUUCCACUGGAGGAACAGUGUACAGCUCUUCGGUUGCCAUCUUUGCUUCUAACUUCACAGCCUAUAACAUCAGCUUUAAGGUAAAUCAUCACACUUAAUUCCUGAAAUUAACAUUGCGUGUGUAGUAUAGCCUACAAAUUUAGCUUCAAUCUCACUGUCUUUAACUUCUAUCAUUAUAUUUUCAUAGUUGUUGCAAUUUAGAGGUACUGAAAGGUGGAUUUGCUCCAUUUGUCUGUCCAAUUUUCUCAAAAUGCAACGUGGAGAAUGACUGUGAGCCUAAUUACCUCAUCUCUCGAAUCUGAUUGGACGCUCAAGGAAGACAUAUUAUGAUGUACUAGAUAUUGUCUUACGUGUUGCUUAUUUUACACAUUUAAAAUUUACCAUCGAUAGAAAAAAUCACUAAAAUUAAAAAAGAGAAAGCCCAAAUAUUAAUUUAAAUUUUGUGAGAUAAAUUAACCUUUCAGCGGAUAAUACAUUUAAGAAUAUUUUGGCUAUUUUUCUUAUUCCAGGAUAUAGCUAUCCGAGGGUCGGCUAUAUGCUCGACUUGGACUGUGAAGUUUAUGGCAUUGGACGUGACUUUUGUAAAUUUGGACCAUCUAGACCUGAAUUAUUAUUAUUUUAAUUAUGAAAUAUCUACAUAAAAAUGGUUUUUAUUUUUUUAACACUAAUCCGAGCCAUUUAACCCAAUCCGUAAAAGGAUUGCAAAAAUUUAGGUUGGGAUCCAGCCCAAUAAGUAAACUAGUCUAGUCUUGCAUAGAAGACUGUCCUAGAAUUUGAAUGGAUGCUUGUUCUUUAAAAUUAGAGUUGAAAUGGUUCAGAGGAAUAUUAAAAACAUGGUAAUGAUUUUGCGUUACUCUUGUUGAUUAAUGGAUCGGUCUAUUGAUUGCCAAUUUUUCUGGGAAAGAAUACAGCUCCAGAGCCAAUCCCUGGUGAAACUGGAAAGCAGGCAGUGGCGCUUAGAAUAGCGGGGGAUCAAGCUGCUUUCUACAAUUGUGGAUUUUAUGGAGCCCAAGACACACUUCUGGAUGAUCGUGGCAGACAUUAUUUCAAAGGUUGUUUCAUAGAAGGUUCUAUUGAUUUCAUUUUUGGAAAUGCUAGAUCACUCUAUCAGGUACCAACAAUUUUCGGACGUCUUACACAUGCUGUUUUGUCACUGAACCAGACAAUCGGAUUUAGAUUAUACAUUUGCACUAAUUGUUGACAGGGUUGCGUUAUCCACUCAAUUGCUAAAGAAGGGACGAGUGGAGUUAGCGGAUCCGUUACAGCACAUGCAAGGCAAUCGUUGAAUGAGCAAACAGGGUUUUCAUUCGUAAAUUGCAUCGUCCGGGGAACCGGGAGCGUCUGGCUUGGUAGAGCUUGGGGAGCGUAUGCCACCGUCGUCUUCUCCCGAAGUUAUAUGUCGGAUGUUGUGGCACCGGUCGGAUGGAACGACUGGCGAGACCCUUCUAGAGACCAGUCUGUCAUUUUCAUUCAUAUAUUAAAAACCAUAUUUAUAUGGCAAUUAUUUUAUUAUAAUAAAAAAAUGAACUUUUUAUUGUUUCCAGGACUGUUUUUUUUGGAGAAUAUGAGUGCUUGGGGCCUGGAGCAAACUACACAUUCAGAGCUUCUUAUGGGAAGCAGCUAAUGGAAUAUGAAGCAGCUCACUACAUGAACAUAUCAUAUAUUGAUGGAGAUCAAUGGCUUCAAGACUAGGCUUUCAUCUUCAUGCUAUAUAUAUUAUAUCCUAUAUUCAAACCCUCCUAUAGUUUAUGUAGAAAAUUUCGUUUCUGAUGGAAAUUAUAAGUAUAUAUGAAAUUGUUAUGUUAUUCGCUAUUAUUUACUCCCUACUUGGUUACCUGAUUGUGUCUUAACCCCUUUAUGGAAUCACAUGAUGUAAGUUCGCAUCAUCAUGUAGACGAACUCAUAUUUAAAAAACACGUUUAAUCUUAAAAUAGGGUACGUGUUGGCAUGCAUAGAGACUUACCUACGACAUCACAUUCAUGAAUAGUAAUUAUAUCAUAUAAAUACACAAUUUAACCCUUUUGAAGAACACUCUAAAACACUUAACAAGAAUAAAGUGGAACAGCCAUUCUUUUAGCAAGUGAUCUGUUUUUAUGACGUCUCAUCAGAAAUCCAUUUUUUUCAACAUCAGAAUCACUUUCAAUUAGGCACAUAUUAUAUUACAAGCACUCGUUCUUAGAAUUAAAUUUUAAGAAUCCUCCUCCCCCAACUAAUUUAUUUAAUUAAACUAUAUAUUAUAUUUUAAAAAAUACCUAUUUUAUUUGUCGAAAAAGAUUUUAAUUUGUUGGAUGUUCCAAUUAAAUAUCCCAACCAAUAUUGAAAUAGAAGUUGGACCACGAUAGGUUAACAAACAAAUUAUAAAAGGAAUAAGGCAAGGAGGGAAAUCAACAAAUGCUAUUUGUUAAUGUAGUUUGGAUUCAUAAAUUUUAUUUUGUAAAAUUUCAAUAAAUUUAAAACUCUAUUAGUUAAAAACUCAAUCUGCUCUUACACAAUGAAUAAUUACAGCUCAAUAAAGUACCCCAAUGUCACAAUGACUUAUCCCAAACAAGCUCACCUAUAAUAAAGAUUACUCUCCAAUAAAAUGCCUAAUAAAAAGUAUAAGGAUACAACGCGAAGAAAGCACAAUACUUCACUAAAAAACACUCCAAAGACACUCACAACAUAUGCGACAAUACAACCUAUUUAUAGGUAAUAUUAGCAAUUUCUUCAAAUAAUAAAUCAAAUUUUAAAUUAAAAAAUUAUCCACACAAAAAAAUUCUGUUUUUAAAUUAAAAAAAUAAAGCAUUCAUAUCCAAACAAAUUCAAAUGAGAUUAGUCUCCAAGUAAAAUAAAGUGAAAGGAUGAAGGUAAUGUUUGCCUUGCAUCAAACUCUUCUCCUUCCUUUGCCAUUUGGAAGUUAAACUCUCGGUAAUAGUAAGAUUAAUCAAAGCAAAAAUCAGCCAUCCAAAAUUAUACAAGCUUAUUGCAUAGCUAUACUAACUUGUUGUCCCAAGUGUUGUUCAAACAAUGAGGGUAACAAGAUUACAACAGAUAAUUAAAGUCCCAACAAUAUCCCUCUUUGACAUUUUGACAAAAUAUGUCAGCAACUGAUCAAUACACGUGUUAUCAACUUUCCACAAUUCUCCCCCUAUCACAUAGCAUCAUGCCAAAAAACUCCCUCUUUUGACAUGCAUCAAAUCAAAUCAUGAGUUCAAAAAUAACUUAAGAAAAUGCAUUAUCAAUUAACCAUCAAAUGAAAACUCCCCGUAGAAAAAUGCAUCAUCAAAUAUCAUGGUCAAACAUCAAUUAGUAAACCAAACAUAUCUUAAAUCGCAAAAGAUUUAUAAAUCAUUAUCAAUUAGCCAUCAAAUCAAAACUCCCCAUAGAAAAAUACAUCACUAAAUAUCAUGCUUAAAUAUUAUCUUAAAUCUCAAAGGAUUUAUAAAGCAUUAUCAAUCCGCCAUUAAGAUAUCAAGUUUGAAACAACUUCAAACAAAGUAGUACUAAUCGUAAAAAUAACAAACCAUUAGCAACAAAAAGGUGCAAAAGCAAAUAGAACAUAAGCAAUCUUUCAAAACCAAAUCUGCAAUGUAAAAUGUAAUAGCGAGCAUUCACCAUCUCAUCUAAUGCAAUGUAAAAUGUAAUAGCGAGCAUUCACCAUCUCAUCUAACUUCAAACAUUUGUUAUUACUUCUCCUUCCCUUCCAAGGUUGUCUUCUUCAAAUCGUAAAUCAAUUAAACAAACUUUACCUUGAUAACAAAUUAAAAACUUGAUAGUUACUAAAUUAACUAUAAAUACAACAAAAAGUCAAGUGCAUCUAUCAAACAAUAGUAUAGUUAUGGUGAGUAGAAAAUAUUGUAUUCACGAAGACUAAAAAUAUUAGUAAUUACCGUUUUUCUAUUAUUUACCCAACAAUUUGGAGUGAUGUGUUUUAAUCUAAAAUUACUAAACUAAUUAUACCAAGAACGCAUCAGAGAAUGAAUUAAGAAAAUAAUUGAAUAUUAACCAAUGAGAUAGACAAUACCCAGGAAAGAAUCCCCUUAGACUUCACUUAUUAUUAUGAAUCUGAAUUAAAUAAUUUAUUCACUUGUGUCUUGAUCCGUAAAAAUCCCUAAAUUAUGUUAAUAUCUUUUUCAGGAGUAAGAACAACUGAAUCUAGGUUGAUUAAUUAAAAUCUCUUUCUAAUAAAAAUUCCUAUCGUCGCAUUAACUCGAUCUAUGGAUUCCCCUAUUAGAUUUGACUCUAAUCUGGUAAAUUUAUGUCGUCCUAUUUCUAAGAUUGCAUGUAACUCCACUCAAUUAUGCUAGAUCUACUCUCAAACAAAGACUUUUCCUCCACUGAAAUAAAUAUGAAUUAAUAUCCCAGAAAUAUUAAAACAAGAAAUGAUGAGCAUACAUAAUUGAGAAUAAGAAUCAAGUAUUUAUAGCAUAAAAUAGAAAUUAAAUAAAAGGAUUUAUCAUAUGUUUCAUCCUCCCGUAUCUAGGGAAUUAGUUCAUAAUCUUGAAUGAAAAUAUUUCAAAGUCAGAAUAACCACAAAAUAUAAAGAAACUCAAUAAAACUUCGAAAGAAAUUAAAAAGAGAUCUUCGAUUUUAAUGGAGAUUCGCUUUUGAGUUUAUUCCGAUGGUGUUCUUCGAGUGUUUUCUUCGAUCUUCUCUGAUUGCUCCUUUAUAUCUUCUUCUAAUUGGUAUUUAUAGACAUUAGAAUGCUCAAAAGUCUAAAAAUCGAGUUUUUCCGCGUAUUUGGGAAGCAGGGUGAAAUCGACACCGGCUGGCAUAUGGGCAUGUGUCCAACUUGUGUGGAAAUGCCCAGGCCGGGUGGCUCCUGAAAAUAGCUCUAUUCGUCUGAUUUUAGCUUGUUUUUCGCUUCUUUUGCUCCCAAAUGCUAUUUUAAGUAUAGAAACACGAAUGUGAAGGAUUAAGAGCAUCAAAUUCACUAAUUUACAUAAUUAAUCAUCAAAAAACACAUUAAAAUGAGAUUAAAAUAUGUUAUUUUUAUAGCUUAUCAAUAACAAAUCUCCAAAUUUUAACAAGCCCUUAACAGAUCUAAAACUUGUGCAUUUUGAAUAGUUGUAGCAGGUUGAGACGAGACUGUCCCACCUUCUACUAUAACAGGGUUUCAGCCAUCGUUGCAUAUUUGAAUAUUAGAUAACCACAAACAUGACAUUUGAGACUCUGUCAAGAUAAUUUACUCAUGUAAUUAUAAUAGCUAACUUUUGCGUUUUUUUUAAAGAUUAUUAGCCUUUCUUUUUAAAUUGUAACAACUUUAUUUAUAUUAUCGAUUUUUUUAGAUUAUUAACAGUUUUUAAUUUUGAAAUUUAUAUGGUAUAUGUUAUUUAGAUUAUAUUGACUAUUUUUUUAAUUAGUGUUCAAAAAAUAACAAUCUUAUCUUAAUCUAGAGAUUGAUGUAUCAAAUUCUUUUUAACUUUUUUCCUUUGUUAAAAUUAGUAUUCAAAUGCAAAAGUCAGCAUAUGAGAUAAGUGAUAUUUGGAAUAUUAGUGUUUUAUAAUUUUUAAUUUUAAUUUAAUUUUUUCUUAUUGUUAUAUAUGCAAAUUUCCAUUCCUUUUCAUAGUUUACCCAAAUAAGAAAUUGCUUUAUUAAUUUUAAUUAUUCAAAUAAAAAAUAAAUAUAUUAUUUCUUUUCUUUAAUUUUCCCUUCCUUUCCUUUCUUUUAUUCUCCUUUAAUAAUAUUUAUCAAACAUAGGGUUAAGUCAUGAUCUUCCUUUGAGUCUAUCUCUUGAAAGAGUCUUCAUAAAGCCUUGAUCCUAGACUUUAAUUACAACACAUUUUGCUAUUGAUUUCCAAGAAUAAAAAUGAUUACAAUUAAAAGUCCAAACUGCAACUAAAGAUUAAGCUGUGGCAUAUUAUUUAUGACGGCAUGUAUCAGGCUAGGCGUUUUGUACAUCAUUCUUCUUUUAUGAAAUAAAAUUUGCCUUUAGAAAAAAAUAAUAAUAAUAAUUCAAUCAAAUAUUGGCUGUGCUAUAGUUGAUUGACUUGCUCCAAAAUGUCUUGCACCAAGAGUGACAGGUUGAGAUGGGAUGAUCCUCCAUUUUCCACUGCUUUUAUCGCCAUUUCCGCAAGUUCUCGAGCUCUCGUUCUCCUCUUUUCGCCUUCUUCUCCGCCAUUCAUCAACAUAUUUAUGGCUUUCUCAAUCUGUUCUUUCCUAACCAGCACCCCAAGUUUCUCUUCUUCACCCCAUCUAACAGGGAUCUCAACCCCAACCCCAACACCUAUUUUUAGAAUUUCAACAAUCAGUUUCUCGUUAAAGAACUGUUCGGAGAAUUGUGGCCAUGUUAUCAUUGGCACCCCCGAGCAUACGGCUUCUAAAGUUGAAUUCCAACCGCAGUGAGUUAAGAACCCUCUUAUUGCAGGGUGGGACAAAAUAAGAACUUGGGGAGCCCAACCCUUGAUUAUAAGUCCUCUCCCUUUGAUUUUCUCCUCAAAGUUAUGUUCUGAAAACCACUUCUCCAACUCAUCAUUAGCUCGCUGAUUUCCUGUUUUGACUACCCAAACGAACGGUUGUUGUGAUGCUUCUAGACCCAACCCCAGCUCUAUCAAUUGUGCUGAAACGAGACGGCAUAGACUGCCUAAACAAGCGUAAAUAACUGACCUUGUUUUCAUAGAGUCGAGCCAUUUCAAGCAUUUGUUGUCAUUGAUUGAUGCUUUGUUGCCUCGUUCAAACUUGUCCAAGUAUAUUCUGUUGCAUAAAGAAACUGGUCCAAUGGCCCAAACCUUUUUCUUUAUUGCCUUCUGGUACUCGUUGACACAUCCAUGCUCGAGUUCAUUGAAGCUGUUUAUCACAACACCAUAAGCAUUCAUUUCAGCCUCUUGCAUCUUGUUGCGAGUAUCGUCCAACUCAGGCAAGCUAACAAAGGUACCGGGAAGCUGAGCCCUUGUUAUCUCCACUUUUUGUGGCAAUCCUGGAACCCGAAAGCGCUCCGAAUCCGAGGCAACGAAAAGAUGAGCCUUGUGGAGCUUCACAUUGUGAGAGCUCAACAAUGAAAAGCAGCCCAUCCCAUGAAAAACAAUCCUGGGAAUGUUAAACUUCUGAGCGGUUUCUGAGGUCCAGGAAAGACACUUGUCUGAUAUUAUGCAGCUUGGUUGCGGCUUUUGCUGUUCCAGGAAUUGUUCCAAUGGUUCUCGCCACAAAUCAAGUGCAUUGUAGAACUUUUUCAAUAGGUCCCUGGAACAUAAAGUGUCGAGAUUCUCGCAUCCAAUUGGAAGUCCCACUUCUUGGCAUGGAAAUGGAAUUUUCACUAGCCGAAUCCGGAGCCCUGACUCAGAAGCUCGUUCAAUGACUGUGUCGAAUCUCGACGCAUUUCGGGGAGUAGUGAUCAAGCUUACGAUCACCCCUCGAUCUGCAAGAAGCCGAGCCAUGUCAACCAUCGGAAUCAUAUGACCUUGUGCCAUCAGCGGGAUUAACACAAAGUGUAGCUGCUUGGCCGUCACGGAAGCCAUAUAGUCUUCAGAAAUAUUGGAAACAAACAACGGAUGCCAAGGAUGGAUCGAUUAGGUCUAAUAAAAAGCAUAAACGUAUUUGCAGGAGGAUUGGCACCAAUUGCAAGACUUAUAAGGUAAGCCCGACUUUGAAUUAUUCCGAAAAAGAAAACAGCACAUUUUUUAAUAUGUCAAAAAAAACAUCUACCUUCUUAUAAUUUUCUUAUCUAAUAAAAUUAAUUAAAAUUGACUUGGAUUUUCAAUUGAUUUAAAAAGUCUAUACCCAACCUUGUGCAGCACAUGAUUUUAAUUACCUAACUCCCACGGUAACAUAUGAUUUUAAGCCAUAAUCAUGGUACCCAGUAUUGGUUGGUUGGGUUAUUUAGGGUCGAUAUUUCUUUUAUCUAGAUGAGUUUUGAUGUUGACAGGAUUUCCAGAAAUCACACAAUGUUCAAACAAUUACAAUCAGUGGUGACAAGUUUUCACCGUUGUUUCCAUUGAUUUACUUUUAUUUUUUUUAUUAAUUUUCUUCAACAAACCUUUUACUCGUUCAGGGCUUUCUUAUAUUAAUUGUAUUGUUAGAAUUUCAAAAAAUUAUCGUUAUUACAGCAAAAUGUUUUAAACGAUCCUGUCUAGGGGAUCCAAAUUUUAUCUUUAAAAAAAUAGAUCUCACAUAUAAAUCAAUAUUUAAGCUUGACAUAUAUAAACUUUUUUCUAUUUUUACUUUAAAAAUAUUGCUAUAGUAGCUUUUUCCUAUCCAAAAAGAUUCGUCGAAUUUAAAGAAGACAAUAAAAAUGUUCUUGAGAUUUUCGGUAAAGUCAAAGAGAAAAUAGAAAAUGAAAUCACGGAGGAAAUAAUAGGGCAGGACAAUAGUUAUUUUGUUGAGUCUAUACACAUGAAUUUUAUAUUUACUCCAAAUAACUUUUGAGUUUCAUGAAAAAUUGAGAGUACUAGAAUUUCUUCUACAGAUUUUUUACUUUUAUUGUAUUGGAAAUAUAAGUGAGUUUAAGAAUGAUUGGUUAAAUAUUUGAAGGGGAAUCAACACUCUAAAAUUGUAUUGGCUUUCAAUUUGUGCCUAAUGUUAGAUUUUACUAAGUCAAGCCAUUAUUCGAACUUUUCGAUGAUAAAAUAACAUUUAAGAAUGUAAAAAUAAAAAAAAUACAGAGACGCAACUUCAUAGUUAACUAAUAUUUUUAUUUAUUUAUUUUUCAUUGCAUUGCAUAUAGAUACAUCUCUAAGUGGUAUAGCAUGCUAAUUCAUUUGCAUUUUCUUUAUAUUUUAUUUUGAGUCUUUUCAUUUCAUUUUUAUUUUUAGUGUUUGAUUUGUGUAAGACUAAGUUGAAAGAGCGAGUCCAGCAACAAAUGAAAUCUCAAGGUUGGGUCGGGCGAAAAGGAAAAUUUUAUAGUUUAUUCUUAUUUAAUAUUUUUAAAAAUUAUAAUUUUAUUAUCUAUAUUUUAUUCCUCUUGAAAAAAAAUUAUGUAUAGGUUUUUAUUUAGAUAAACAGCUGGAUUUUAUUCAUUUAUUUCAAAACAAUACAAUCAAAAUGAGCCUUCCCAAUAAGCCCAAUAACCCAGCAGCAAGAGUUUGCUCUAGAAACGUCCAUGUGAACAGCCUUAAAAAUUAAUCAGCAAAAUUCCUGAAAAACAACAACUGCAACUGGAGUAAAAGCCCCUCUUUAAUUUUUCGUUUCUUUCCCAGAAACGUUAAAAAACCCUCCAGCUUCCUUUCUUCUCUAAUCUCUCCUCCUUCAGAUUACUACAUCGGAGCAAAGGAAUCUCAUUCUGGCAACACCACCCCCCGCCGGUCUCUUUCCACUGCCUCUUCUGCAUAUCCAGUUACUCCGUUUCUCAUAAAUCUUUGUUCCCCGUUCUUCAACCCUUCUGUGGCUAACAGAUGGCUUCUCCAUUCAUCGGUCAGUGGUCGUGCUUGAACUUGCAGAUUUGGAAACCUUUUGGAAACCUCCAUCCGAUAACCAAAUCCGAAUAACAUAUAUUGUUGACUAAGUUUGAACUUAAAAAUGAACAGAAAGACAAUAGCAGGGCAAUAUAAUUAGACCUUCUUUAUUGGAAAUACAUCAAGAUUUUGAAUCAUUGUAAAUGAACAAGUUACUAAUGAAUUUGAGACCUUCUGGUCUCAUGCUACAUCUGGACCAGCUAUGGUUUCCUGUUGCUUGAUAUCUUCAAUCAGUAGUGCAAUGUUAAGAUAAGAAGAGCCUCCUUCUUCAACAGCUUUCUUCGCCAUCUCAGCUAGGUUUCUUGCCCUUUCCCUUCUCUCUUCUCCUUCCUUUCCUUCAUCCAUUAAACUCUCAACAGCUUUUUUAAUAUCUUCACUCUUCACCAGCACCCCAUAUUUAUCUUCCUCCCCCAUAUGCACCACAAAUUCCACCCCAACUCUAACACCAACUUUCAGUACUUGCACAAGGUGCUUCUCGUUAAAGAACUGCUCGGCAAACAAGGGCCAUGUUAUCAUUGGCACCCCACAACUGAUUCCUUCAAGUGUGGAAUUCCACCCACAGUGUGUCAAAAAUCCUCCAACGGAGGGGUGUGAUAAAAUUAACAGUUGCGGUGCCCAUCCUCUUAUCAAAAGGCCUCUUCCUUUUACCCUUUCUUCGAAUCCAUCUUCGGCUAACCAUUUUUCCAUUUCUUCUCUUUUAUAUCCUCCUCUAAUAACCCAAAUGAAGGGUUUAUUUGAUGCUUCCAAGGCUAAACCCAGUUCCAUUAACUGAGGAGGUGUUAAACGGUUGAGGCUUCCAAAGCAAACAUAGAUUACUGAGCUUGCAGGCCAGGAAUCAAGCCAUUUCAAGCAUUGGUUUUCAUCUGUUAGAGCCUCGUUACCUCUUUUAGCUUUAUCAAUGUUAUCCUUGUUGCAUAAUGACGCAGGACCUACGCACCACACUUUAUGUUCUUUGAUCUUUUGAUAUGAUUUCGCAUAUUCGGCUUCCAACUCCUCGAAGCUGUUUACUAUUGAUCCGUAAGCUCCUUCUUCAGCUGCUAUUAUCUUCUUACUAAGCUCUUUCAUGUUUGAUCUUGGAUUGAGGUUUCCAGGUAACUGCCCUAUAGUGAAUUCGAUUUGAUCGGGCAGUCCCGGCACAGCAAAAGGCUCUCCUUCGGAGACACAUUCAUGGACCUUGGAAGUGCUUAUGUUAUGACUGCACAAGUGAGUGAAACAGCUUUUUCCAUCAAAUAAAAUCCUUGGAACAUGAAGCUUGGAGGCGAUUUCACCCAUCCAAGUGAAGUGCUUAUCAUGUAUUAUGCAGUUUGGACAAGGCUUUAGCUCACGUAAUAGCUUCUCCAGUGGCACCUGCAGCAUGCUCAUUGCAGAAUGGAAGUUGCUCAUGAGGUCCAUGGAAGGGAGAUUGUCGACUGUUUCACACCCAUCUGGCAAACCGGCUUCUGCAGCCGGGAAUCGAAGUUCAAGAACUGAGAUGGAUAGCUUGGAUCCAAUGUCGCGAUUGACACCUGCACUAAAACGAGCAGCAUUCUGAGGUGUGGUAAUUAUAGUAACGAUUACAUUACGGUCAGCCAAUAGCCUGCCUAUGUCUAUCAAGGGAAGAAGGUGCCCUUGGCACAUAAAGGGUAUCAAUACGAAAUGAGGUUUGGUAGACUUCAAGGCCAUUGCUAAUUGGAGAUUUAAGGAUGGCAGAUAACUUAUCAGGCAAAUAUGGUUUUUUUUUUUUUGUUGGUUCUUUCAUCAGCUCAUUUUUGCUGUUAUAUUUAUACAUGGUUAAUGGUUUAAUAGUUUGCAGAUGCGUAAUGGAAUUGGUUUUGAGUUUGACUGAUUCAUGAAUACCGAGUACUUUUACUUCCGUUCUCCUUGAAUUUCGCGUUGGAUGGUCAACAUGCCAUUGUCAAAGGUUUACAAACACACGACAACAAAUAAUAUGAAUGAAAAGUAAAACAUAGCUAGCAAACAGGCAUAAGUUCAAUAAAAACAACUGGAUUUCUAUUAUCAUCUUUAACUAAAACAAAUUGAAAUUAAAAGAGAUGCAUCAGAUUAAUCUUACAAAUUUCAUUAUCUAGUAUACUUUAAAAAAACCUAAAAAUUUUGAGCUUAGUACAAUGAAUUCAUACCAUUAUUGUAUUUAAAUUCUAAUAUCAACAUUGUCUCUAGGAGCCCAAUUUUACUUGGGCCCAAUAAUAAAACAAAACCAAAUAAUAAAAUUCUAUUUACAAAUAGGGCCCGAUAUAUUAUAAGUCCAAAUAACCCAAAUAAAAAAAAACUUUAUACCCCUAACGUUUUAAGUUUUUAAGAAAAAAAAACUAAACAGAAACUCUAAUCUCUAAGCCUCUAGUCGUCGCCGCUCCUAUGCCUUCGACAUGUCAACACGAACGUCGCUCAAGGUCUAACGCCUCUGGAGCGCCUCUUCCCACCAUCGGCCAAGGACACCUGCAAAACAGAAAAACAAUGACAAAAGCAACAACACGAAAAAUAAAUAGUAGAAAAAAUAGUAAAAAUAAAUACUGUAAUACAUUUGGCUAUAAAAGCCAGACAAAAAAAUGUAAUAGAAACAAACGAAAAGCAAUCAAAAAACACAAAAAGAAAAAGUUAAAAGGUGAUUUUUUUCGAUUUAUUUAUUUUUUGUCGUAACAAAUAAGAAUAAAUAUAAAAAAAGGAGGGAUUUUUACUGGUGUCACUUGUCAGAGGAGAGAGAAACCUAAAGGUUUCUUGACUUAAGAUCCGUUUUUUGCCACUUUUUUGACAAUUUCAACCCUAAAACAAGGUUCCUAAAAAGAAAAGGGGUAAAGAGGUGGGUUUUGAAAUUUUUCGGCCACCGGGGACGAACGCGGUGCCGAUGGCCGACUUGGGACGAUUUUAGAGAAAAAAAGGAUUUACAAUUUUUUUUUUAAACUGAGGUUGAACAUGAUUUUUUUAAAAAAAUUUUGGUACUUAUAGGGCCCUUACAUGACAUCAUUUAGGGCUGGCCUCAGAAGCCCCAAAACGACGUUGUUUUGUAGCGCGACCCAAAAAUCGACUUGACCCACCUUAAGAUUAGCAUGUUUUCGUGACCAAGGUCUAUUUACGACCCCGAUCCUUCCAAUUUUGCGUCCUGCUUCAAUUUAGUCUUGUUCUGUUUUUAAUUUUACCACUUUUAUUUAUUUUAUAUUCAUUUUGGUCAUUAGGCCAUUUUUGGGAAAUAGACACCUAAAACGGUGUCGUUUUGAAUCCGACCCAAAGAUCAACUCGAUCCUUCCUAGGAUCCACGUGUUUUAGAAAAAAUGGUCUAUUUGCGACCCUGGUCCUUCCGCUUUUAGACCCUUUUUAAUUCGGUCCUAAUUUCGAUUUUUAUUUUUAAGAUUAUACCUUUUAAUUUUAAAUUAUUUUCAAUUUAUUCCUCCGAUUUUCCAAAAGAAUGGAGCGUUUAAUGGGCCUGGGAAUAAUUUCCCUGUUGGUCCUUGCUCUUUUGUGCGCAUUACAUUCUAGCCCCUUUAUUAUUUAUUUUAUCCCGAUUUAUCCUUUUAACUUCAUUUAAGUUACGAUUAAGUCAUUUAUUUAUUUUAAUUCUUUUAUUUAUUUAUUUACUUAUUUAUUAUUCCUUCACUUUUUUUAAUAUUUAAUUUUUUUAUUUUCCUUUUAUCGAGCAUUUAUUUUUUUCCUUUUUCUUCUUUUGUGCCUUUAUUAUUAUUGUUAUUAUUAUUAUCUAUUUAUUUAUUUAUUUAUUUAUUUAUUUAUUUAUUACUUCUUUAUUUUUUAUACAUACUUAAGAAUUAGAUUGUGUACAUGCUUUUAUUAGUGCAUUUUUUAUUUUUUAUUGUCAUUAUUAUUUUAUUUUAUUUUUUGGUGUUCUUGUUAUUUUAUUAUUUCUUUUAUUAUUUUUGGCACUUUCAUGUCAUGUCCAUUUAUCUUUUAAUUAUGCAUCUUCCAUUUUUUAUUUAUCUUAAGUUACUUUAUUUAUUUGUUAUUGCUACAAUAUGAUUAUUAAUAUAAUUAUUAUAUUCUUAUUAUUAUAGUAUUCCUUUAUUUACUUAUUAUUUAUCAUUCUACUCACAUAGCCAUUUUAUAUUAUUUCAUUAUCACUAUAUCAUACAUUAUGUUUAAAUGCAUAUCACUUUAAAUGUUACGUUCAUUGUUGCACGAUGUAUAAAAAAAGAAAAAUUUUAAAUCGAGACAAUGUUCAUUAUUUUUGGAAUUAGAAGAGUCAUGUUCCUAACUUACGGAAUAUGGCUUCUUUUUGAAACCAAAUUAGUCGAAUAUCUAUUUCAAAAAUAAAAAAACGAGAUUUAAGUAACAAACAAAUGGCGUUUAUUCUUUUCUCCGAGGAUUUAAGGCAUUAUGUCCUAACUUACGGGACAUGAUCCUUUCUUCUCGAUUAACCUGAAAUAUGCCAUUUUUCGCGAAAACUAGUUUAAUUAAGUAAUGUCUUAAUACAAAAAGGGAUUGUAUUUUAAAUUCUCUUCAAAUUUUCAGUUCUCGAUAUUAAGACAUCAAGUAAUCAAUUAGGUACCAAUUUUGGGCGUAACAAGAAUGCUAAUCCUUUCUCGUGUAUAACCGACUCCCGAACCUAUUUUCGGAUUUGUAAAACUGGAUAUUAUAGUUUUAACAAAUCUAACGUUUUACUAAAAUGAUUGAGUUUUGAGGUGAUCCAAUCACACCAAAGUAAAAAAGGUUGGUGGCGACUCCAUCUUAGUUUUCAAAAUAAAGUCGAUUUUAAAAAAGGUUUCGACAUUGUCAACAUCUUUUUUACUUUGCACCUAAAUAAAAGUAAAAAUGUCAGCAUCAUGGAUGUCGGCACUCUCAAAAGACUGAAGGCAUUCACGUAACACCCCUAACCCAUAUCUGUCACCGGAUUAAGAUUACGAGGAAUUACUGGACAAAACACAGCUCAAAAUAGUCUUUUAAUUUUAACAUGUACAAAAUUAUAAUGCAUGAACCUUACAAAGCAUAGUUCGAACCACAUGUUUUUCACAUUCAUAAAUCGAGUAUACUCCAAGUCAUUCGUAUGUAUGCAUUUGAUUCAUUUAUAAAUUACUAAUCAAAUCACAUAUAAAACACAUAACUAAUGAAAUUAUUCAAGUUUUAUUAGUAAAAAUCAUAUACGAACCAUGCUUUAUCAAUUCAAUUACUUCAAUAUUAUUGAUCAAUUCCAACUAUUAGAACUAAGUUGUUAUACAACAAAACCAAUUUACACAUGUUUCGUAUUUAUAGGAUUUAAACCGUCUAAGUCAUUUCAAUCCAUGUCUUUAACUAAAGAACAAACGUAACAUUUAAUAAACAUUAUACAUGCGCCUGUUAAACUAAUUUGGCCAUAUCACAUAGUUCAAUAAUCAUUUGCACAUAAAACAUUAGGUAACUUUAUACAUGACCAACUAUAUUUUAAGUACACCUAAUUUGUAUGCUAAAUAUCACAUAAACAUAACAAAUCCAUUAUCCCUAUUUUCGUCAUCAAAUUGGACUCCAAUUAUCAAAUCCAACCAUCAUAAAACAUGAACAUCAUAUGUCCUUUUCUAAAUAUAUUUGUCGAAUCAAAACAUGUCAAUUGCAUAUUAUAUGCUUCAUGCCAAAAUGUCAUAUACUCCACCAAAUCAUUUCUCACUUAUUCAACUAUCAAAUUUUGAAAUAUAACACAUUUUAAAAUAACCAUAUGACCACAAAUCAUAAUCAUCAAUAGCCAUUACUUAUGCACUAAAGUAACUAACAAAUUAGCAAUUAAAAACACAUAUAUUCCUUAUCAAGACUUUAACCUGCAUAUAUGACACAUCAAAUUUGAGUAUUAAACCAACCACCAUAGUCUCUAAAACAUCUAUCCAUGAAUCAAUAACAUAUGCAUAGAAUUAAAAUACAUAUAUAUACCUAGCACAAAGCCGAAUGCAUAUACUCAUUAUAAACCUAGUUUGUCUCAUAAUAUGACCGAAUCAAAUUUAUCAAUUACAGUAUUUUCCAAUUCAAUUCACGUAGCAAAUUAUACAUAAAAAAUUAGGUCAUUAUUAAACCAUACCAAAUAGCCAAAUUCACAAGGCAUAGCAAUAUCAUCUUAUAACUUAUCUUAUAAGAACAUAUACAAUGAAGCAAAAACACAUUCAUCAACUAAGAUAUACCACAUAUCAUACUUCCAAAAUGAACUACUUAUAACCGAAAGUACUCAACCAAUAACAACAUUAUUAAGCCAUUUUCGCAUGGCUAAAUAUAUAUACAAAUAAAAAAGAACCAAAUCGAAACUAGCCUAUACAUGUCACUUAACCAAAUCUCAAAACAUUAUUUACCAAAAUGAUAACUGGAUAGUGUGAUGACAUCUCCAACAACUUCCAACCCGAGCUAUCCCUGAAAUUCUAUAGACAUAAGAAAAACACACAGAGUAAGCUUUGAAAGCUUAGUAAGCCAUAAGCAAAUAAAUCAUUUCAAUGAUAUUUAUAAACCAAUAUCACUAAACCGAAUUUAACAAAUCUAAAUCAUAUACAAACAUUCAUUGAACUCGUAAAUUCAUAUAACUACAUUAAAUAACUCAACUUAUCUUAUUUAUCAAUAAAGGUAUAAUCAUGCUUUCAAAUUCGAGUAACAACUGUUAGCUCAAUCAUAUAAAUCAAACUCGCACAUAUUCAUUAUAUCGCCAACCAAACAUAGUCAUUUAUUAAAAAUUAUACAUAAAGUUAUAUCAAUUUCUUUAUAAGCACUUCCAAACUCAAAAAUCCAUAAACCAAAUUCGUAUACUUGAAUCAUAUAGUUAACCAAGAUCAACUUUAUUUUACUAAAUAUAUAUUACAUAUAAAGCAUACACCAACUCAACCAUUUUAAUUUCAUUAUCUAUUUAAGUUUUCGAACUAGAUAUCAUAUAGUAAAGCCAUGUUUCUUAUUUCAUAAUUCUCAUGUCCGAAACAUAGAACCAUAAUUUCAUAUAACGAACAUAUAUAUAUAACACAGCAUUUAUUUAUAUACACUCAUACCAUUCUUUAUCAUAUAUUUCACAUAUAGUCAUAUGAUACAUAUUUAUCUUUCGUUUCUGAAUUUCAUAACAAUUCACACGUACCUAAAUCGGAUACAAUUUCACAUUUUUAUUCAUUUCUCAGAAUGCUCGUUGAACCAUUCGGAAUUGAAUAGGACACUCAAAUAAUCACACAUAUCACACAAUGCCAACGUUCCGGAUGUGGUCUUACAUGUAAUCACAUAUCGAUGCCACUAUCCCAGACAAGGUCUUACACGAAACAAAUACGAUGCCGAUGUCCCAGACAUGGUCUUACUCAUAACCACAUAUAUCAAUGCCAACGUACUAGACGUGGUCUUACUCGCACAUAUAUAUCAAAAUUACAUAUCGAUGUUGAUGGACGUCGAAUCCACCAAAAAUAAUUCCUACAAAAUAGCUCUAAUUAGUAGUAGAGUGGUAGUAGGGUCGAGUCCACAGGGAUUGGUACUCUAAUCAACUUUCGAGUUUGGCUUAUGAACAGAAUGUCGUGUUUAGGGCCGUGGCUAGAAUCUUGCCCACAACUCAAAACGUACCAACUGAGAAAUAAGCAAAUAAAUAAGUAAAGCAGGGGAUUUUGAAAUUGAGUAGAAACUAAAUAAUUAAAACUGCUAAGAUAAAUAAUUAAAUAAAUCAGAAAUUAAAUUGGGAUUUGCAAUCAAAUGUAAUAAGCAUUAGCCUUAGACUCGGUAAAUUCCGUGUUGAGCAUCGAUCCUCAAAAAUUAAUCUUCUCCUCCAAUUGAUAAGCUGGUUAUAGCAGUUAAGAACGUCCUAACCAUCAAUUCUUCCUCUAGUAGCUGGUUCCGGUACGACCUGCAAACCAACCCUUACCGAUUAUCUAACCGAGAUACACAUGUUCCCGAUUCAAGAUUCUGACAGCCUUGCAUUCUGAAAAACCCAACUCAAAUCAACGGCCUCAAUCGUGUGGGUCGUUUAAACCCGAUCACCUCUUCCUCGAUUUGUUCUCGAAAAUUUGAAUACAGCACGGCUGACUCGAAUCUCCAACUGUAAGCAAACACGAAUCCAACCCAACAUGCACUUUGACUUGAAAUCGAAUUCAACUUUAAGGGAUGAUUGGUCUAUCCCGAUACUUAGGAAAAAGGUGAAUACCGAUUGGAAGGAUUUUAGGUGCAAGUACGAAUCUCGCAAUUCUCGACCGAAAAGAACACCGGUCUAAAGCUAAGAAAGAAGUUAGUGGAGCAUGAAUUUAUUCAUGCUUAAAAGUGGAAGAUGAUAAAUUUAUGUGAAAGGUGAUGGAAAUUGGAAAGGAAAAGUACUUGGAAGGCAAUUAGCCCAAUUUGAGAAAAGAAACAAAACCAAAUGAAAAUUGACAGAAUGCUAAACUCCAAUUUGAAAAGGGAAAAGGAGAGUAUUUCUAUUCCAAGUAGAAGUAGGAAUACAAAGACAAGAGAUGAUUUUCUAAUAACUAAAAGCCCUUGAAAGUUUCUGCUAGGAUUGCCGGGACGGGUGUGGUACCUUUAUCAAGUCGAUCGAAUAAAUCUGAGACGGCUUCAUCUAUGUGUCCGAGUGCCUUAGGAAAGAUGAUCAAACCGUAGAGGCUUAAGGCAAAAACGUCGACCCUUUUCUUCGAAUCCGGGUGUGCAAAGAUCAAGUCCCUCAAAUUCCUCCAAGGAAUACACUUACUAUCCCCUUUUUGCUUGAUGCGAGCUGCAACCCAUUGCUCGCUCAUCCCUGCGAUAUUCAUCAAUUUCUUCAAAAAGGGAGGGACGUGACAAGUCUUGAAUAGGCCCUAUCGGCCUGAAUCUUCGGGUAAUUAAGUAACGCCAUGUAUUCCUCCACAGUAGGUAUUAAAUCGACUCCUCCGAAGGUGAAGCAACUGUAAGCGGGGUUCCAAAACUGUGCGAGGGCCCGGAACAAGUACUUGUUCACCUUUACAUCAAGCAAAUAGGGUAAGUCACCGUAGUUACAGUAAAAAAGUUGCUUAACCUCGGUAUUCCAACUAUUCCAUAUAUCCCUUAAUUCUUGAAGGUCGUUCUGAGUCACACUGAUGCGAGUGAAGUCCCACAACUCCGAUUCAUAUCCCUCGGUCAAACUAUCUCCUUUCUCUUGUUGUGUUCUCUCGAACCACACUCGGACGGCCGCAUUAUCCUUCACUCUAUUAAGAAAUCCUUUUUCCAAGCUAAACUCUCCUAUCUAGUAACAGAACAUGAAUCAACACCCUUUUAUGAUGAGAUGCCAUGCGAAAACAACAAAACACAACAAGUCAGUAUUAUAUACAAAGAAUAGAAUUCAAAGCAAAUAAGGAAUAAUUAAGCACCUAAUCGGGUAACCACUAAGGUUCGGUGUGGUUCUACCUAGGGUAGGCUCUUAGGGCUCAUUAUAUGUGGUUCAGUUCUAAAGUAAAGGUACCUGAAUCGGUAGAUUCCUCGAUCCUCACCCAUUAUAGGCUCAUAGGGACCGAGUUCAAUUCAGGGGAAUACAUUUCCAUACGGCUAUACGGAGAUGAAAACCUCACGAAGACGUAGGUACGAAUGUAUCCCGAAUGUGAUCCACUAUCCUAUACGGAGGUGAAGACCUCACGAAGGAGUAGUUUCACACUCCCAAUUAAAGGGGUAAAAUUGACCAACAAUGCAAUAUGAUGUGCAAAAGUAUAGUUAAAAGAGUCGAACAAAAAGUCAAUCGUAUAAAGACACAGAGACCAUACAGAGGAAAUGCAAUGAUGCAAUGAAAUGACCGUAAGUUUAAAACAGAUUUUCAAAUUUUGACGAAGAACAAAAAAUGAUCAAUUUUAUGGCUCGACUCUCGAAAAACCAGUCCCCAGCGGAAUCGCCAAGCUGUCGAAACCAUUUUUUUGAAAACAGGAAUCAACUUGUUUUUGAAAAUGAAAAUCAAAACAGGAGUCGCGACCGAUCUUUAUUAGGUGUGAUCGGAUCACAUUUGUUUUAAUAAGACAUUUUAGUUUACUAAAAUGGUGUUUUUGGUCUACGAAACUCGAGAGAACCGGUUCGAAAGUUGGUUAGGUGCGAGGAAGGAUUAGCACCCUCGUCACGCCCAAAAUUGGUACCGAAUUGAUUAGUUAGUGUCUUAAUGUCAAAAUUUGAAAAUUGGGAAUAGAUUUAAAAUACGAUCUUUUUUAUUAACGUUAAUUUUAAAAAGUUCGAAUUAAAUCAAAGUGAUUGCUAAAGAUUUCCUCGUCUUGAGAUAUCGAAGUAUCACAUCCCGUAAGUUAGGACACUAUACCAUGAACUCCCGAGCGCAAGUUGUCUUUAAUUUUAAUUGGAAUUCCGUAUAUUUUAAAACUCAAAAGGAUAUUUGGCAAUUUAGGACCAACGAGAAAAUUGAAACCCCGUAAGUUAGGGCACGGUUCCUCGAUGUUCCAAAACGCUAAACAUUGCGUUGUUUUGAAAAUUCGUUUUGAAAUAUAGCGAGUAUGAUAUUUAACGAUGCGCAAUGUUUGUUUGAAUUAAAACAAAAUAAUUUAUUGGAUAAAUAUAACGAGGCUUGAUUCAUGAGGCGAUGAUAUGAAAUAGGAAUAUAGUAAAUGUGCAUAGAAUAAUAAUUCAUGGAUACAAUAUUAUACGAAUGAAUAACAAUAAUGCAAAAAAUAUGAAGUAAACGAAUUAAAAUACACAAUAGCAAUAAUCACACAACAUACAUUAUUUAAAUACUAAUCAUUAAUAAUCAAAGACAAAUGAAUUAAAUUAAAAAAAUUAUAACGCAAAUUAAAAUGAAUAAAACGUAAAAAAAUUUUAAAAUGAUAAGAAAUGAAUUUAAAAUAAAUAAUGAAAAAAGAAAUUUAAUCAACAAUGUACAAAACAAUUUAAAAAUAGAAUAUAUGUAUAAACAAUUUUAGAAUAGGUAAUAUGGGCCAAAGUUUGAAAUAAAUAAUAUACGGGAAAAGUUUAAAAUGAAUAAUAUGUAAAAUAAUUUAAGAUAAUUAAUAUAUGAAUGAGUUUAAAAUAAAUGUUAUGUAAAAAGAAACUUAAAAUAAGUAAUAUACAAGACAUCUAGAAUUAACUAGUAUAUAUAUAAAAAAAAAUAUAACGAUUUGAAAUUGAUAAUAUAUAUAAUUUUAAAGUAAAUAAUAAAACAAUUUAAAAUGAAAAAUGCAUAAAGCAAGUUUAAAAUAAAUAAUGUAAAAGAAUUUUAAAAUCUAUAUUACACAAAGCAAAUAAAAAAGAUACAUAUGAAUAAUUUUAAAAUAGAUAAUAUAUAUAAAUAAAAGUGUAAAAUAAAUAAUAUGGAAUAAGUAGAAUGGGUUUAAAAUAAGGUAAAUAAAAUAAUUUUAAAAUAAAUAAUAUAUGAGUUAAUUUAAAAGUAAUAGAUAAAAAGUUUAAAAUUAUAAUACGUAAAAAGAAUUAAAAAUAGACAAUAUAAAUAUACUUUGUAAUAGUAAUAGUUUAAAGAUAAUAAAAAGAGAGUUAUUUGAAAUACAUAAUAUAAAAUAACUUAAAAUAUAAAAUAAUUUGAAAUAAAUAUAUAAUAAUUUUUAAAGAAUUAUAAAUAUCUAAAAAGCUUGAAAUAAACUAUAUGAAUGCAUAGAUAUAAUAGGUAAGGAAUAAAAUUAAAUAAAUAAUACAUAUAAAAUAGAUUAAGGUAACACAUAUAUACAUAAAGCAAAUUAAGAUAAAUAAUAAGAAUUUGAAUAAUCAGCACAUUAAAAUAAGUUAGAAUAGAUGUAAAUAAGUAACAUAUAAAAAUAUUUGAAAUAACAUGUAAAUGAAGCAUUUAAAAAGGGUUAAUAAAUGAAUUAAAUAGAUUUAGGACAUGGCUAAAAAUAAAUUAAAAUUCGGGGUAUAAAAAUAUAAAUACUGGAAAGUUAAUUAGGGAUCAAAACAUCUGAGGGCUAAAUUUAAAAAAACAAAAGAAGACAGAAAAUGGGGCCUGAUUGAAUGGGGGUUGAAAAGGGGAAGGACUAAUCGCAAAAUCUCCCUUUUAGGGAGAAUGCACAAACCCCCAAUUACACCAAACGGUGUCAUUUCAUCAUCAUCAUUUAAACCAAAACCCUUUUUUUUUUUUCAUUUUCAGCCCUUUUUUUUUUAAAAAAUAGAAAGCUUUUUUGCUUUCUCUCAUUCUCCUCUUCUCCCCUAUUUCUCUCUUUUUGGUUAGGGCUUCAUAUACCCAUCAUCGCCGCCGUUGUCACAGCGCCACCACAGGCGGUGGUUGGGCGGUGUGAGCUGGGCUUUUCAGCCCCGGUUUAAGGCGCCCCGAAGGCCAAGCCUUCAACCUAAAAUGGUGCGAAGGUGAAAGGGGUUGUCCCUCCCUAAACGACACGAUCCCGACGAUGGAGGAGGGAUCUCCGUCGACGAAGCCACGGGCGAUUCCAGUGAGGCCCUCUUCUCCCCUUUUUUACUUAUUUUAGGCCCACCCUUUUUUUAAAAUAGUUUUGGAGUGAAAAAAAAAAGAGAAGAAAAUGAAACUAAAAAAACGAGUAGAAAACAAAUAAGAGAAAACCGAAAUCCACCUUUUUCAAACUUUGUUCUGCCUUUUUUGAUUAAUAGUGCAUGUAAAAAAAUACAGAGGGAUCGAGUGUGGCCUUUAUAGCCGGAUACAUGCUCGUUUGUUUCAACCUUUGUCUGUUUCUUCAUUAUUUUUCUCUUGGUUGUUUGCUACUAUUUUUUGUCCUUUUGUUGGUUGUCUUUCUUUUGCUUGCUUGUGGUUUUGUUUUGCAGGUGACGUGAGCAGUCAGGGCGCAUGCGAGUAGGCCUGGUGGCGUGAGGGGACGGUGCCGUGCGAGGUGGCCAAUGGUGAAGAGGCUGGUGGCUGAAGGCAUACGGCGGCUGCACCUUGAGGGCUUGGGUUUUACUUUGCUGAAAAACAUUUAAGAUAAUGGGCUUGGGUUUGAUGUAAAUUGGGUUUGGUUUAAUGGUUAGAUGGGCUUGUUAUUUUUUGUAAAAUGGACUUUACUUAUUUGGGACUUUUAUUUUGGAAUUAAUUUAGAUUGAAUUGAUUUGGGCCAAAAAUUGGCCAUUACAGCCCCUAUUUAUAUAUAUAUAUGGGGUUUAUUAAAAAUAGCCUAAUCCUAAAUUAAUAAAAUAAAAAUAAAUAAAAUUAAAUAAAAUAAAAUAAUAUCUUCUAUUUUUAGCUUUUUACAAAGUCAAAAUUGAUAUUAAAUCCUUGGCUUUCCCAUCUUUAUGAUUUGGCCCCAACUUAACGAUUCGUCUUUCAAUUUAGCCACUUUUUGCUUUUUUUUUUACCAAUUGCAUCGCUGAGAAGAUUAAAUCAUAAAAACACCAAUUAAGCGG